AAAUAAUUAAAAUAAUCAUCAAAAGUCAAAUAACAAAAACCAUAAUGAUAUGUAUACCAGGAUGAGGUCGAAGAGGGUAGCUUGGUCGACUUUUGCGAAAUCAGCGUCAAAGGCCUUGACGUCAUCAUCGUUGGUGGAAACCUUGUCAUCGGUUUUGGCGGAGGCAGCGUCCACGUGCUUUUUGCAGUACUCAAUGAUUUUGGACAAGAUCUUGCCGGUGACGUUCGGCAGGGGGAUAACGUUGUCGGCGCAGUCGUCCUCAACCAUAUGCUUGAUCGUCUGAGACUCCAGCGCCACCACCUCCUCCACCUCGAAAACCUCGCCGUCGGAGCUCCGGAGAGUUACCUUCUUGCCAGCGAUCUCCGCUCCUGAAGACGACAUCGUUUCGUGCGUGCGAGAAUAAUUUGGGAACAGGGAAAAUAACCUGUUAGUGGAUAUGAUAGAUUUUCUUUAGCAAAAAGUUGAGACGCCUUUUUAUAUGGAAAUUUAUGAUACACGCGCUGACUGUGUAUCCUUUUGAUCUCAAAAUAGGACUACACAAAAAAAUCGUUAAAUCGCAAAUCGAAUCGAAAUUAUUGAGUUGAAAUUGUUGGUUCAAAUCCACAUAGACCCGUGGUUUCUUUUUCCUCAAAUUGAAUCAAAUCGUUUCGAAAUGGUUUGAUUUAGGUCUUGAUUUUCAAAAAUCGCCCAAAAUCGAACCAAACCGUUUUCAAAAUUUUUUAUUAAAACAUUAAUUUUAUUAACUUAAAAAUUUUAUAGUUUUUACUUUUCAAAAAAAAAAAAUAUUUACAAUACAAAUUACAACCAACCUAUUGAAAUAAUUAUAGAAAGUAAAAUAGGUUUAUCAUUACGGACCUAUGAUUUAACAAGUUCACAUCACAUGUUCUCAUCCGAUAUCUAAACUAAACUAAAAUUAUUACAAAAUCAUAUAUAUAUAUAUAGAUAUAUUUUUUUUUUAACACUCCAAAUCAUAAUUCAACAAGACUAUGUUAGCAAAUCACGUCUAAAAUUUCAGAAGCUCUAAUAUAAACUCUCAUUUCCCUAACAUUUGACGCUUGUCUGCCACUACUGAACGAAUCACCAGUCGCCUUCGCCUGUUAGACUACUAAUUUAUACCCGAAUCGCCUCUUUUUCUCUUCUCUUUCGAUAAGUUUCAAAUUCAUAUUCAAGCCAUUUUUUCAUUAUUUUUUCUUUUAUUUUUUUUUUAAACUUAUUAUACACUUGUGAGUUGUAGUUUGGAUAGAAAAAUGACUGCUUGUGUGUCUAGAUGAUUAAUGAACUUGUUUGUGAUUUGGAAAGAACGAACGACGGAGCGAAUUGAUUUUGUGAAAAUGUUAAAGUUUUCUAACUAGUACUUCUACCUUCUACUUUCAUAAAGCAAUUAGAGGAUGAAAUUCAUCAACUUUCAAUAAGUCGAAACUCUAUUAAUUAUUGUACAUCUAACAUAUCCCGUUCUAUCCUUAUUUAAUAUCUCACUAACAAGACGAAAUGAGUUUUAAUCAAAUUAUAAUAGUAGAAUGUAGCUCUACCUUUAUCAAUCGAUAUAUGACAAUAUGAAUGUCAAAUUAGAAAAGGGAAAGAAAAAUGUAUUUGCUCUAUUAACAUCUUUUAGCAACCAAUUUUGAAAACAAUUUAUUCAUAUGUUUCAUGGUAAAUAUGAAUAUAAUUUAACAUUUAACAUUAUUAGUUCUUGUUUAAACUUAUAUUUAACUUAUAUUAAAUAUAUUAUUAUAAUAUCGAUAGGUAAACCAUGGAUUAAAAUCGAAUCAAACCACAAAUUAUGGUUUGGUUUAAAAGAUAAAAUGAUUUGGUUUGGUUUGAAAAAAUUUCAAACCGCAUAAAAUUGUUUGAAUUGAAAAUAUAGCACAAUCCACCCAAACCGAACCGCAUUCACCCCUAUCCAAAAUUAUCAAAUUACUAGCCUAUCACCCUUGCAUGGGCAUGAUCAUUUUGAACAUGAUAUUAGCUUUUUUAAUGUUGAUAUGAGUUUAAUAUUUAAAAAAGAAGUGAAUCAAUUAGUUAUAAAAAUAAACAUUUGAGGUAAGCUAUCUGUUAUGCACAUAAUUUUGAGAUGGAAUGAUUCAAUAUAGUAAUGACAAAGAUGAACAACUCAGCUCUGUGCAAAGAAAAGUAUUAAUUUCUACCAGUAAAAAAAAAAAAUUGAAAUAAUUUUAAAUCGAACAAAUUUAUAUUGAAAAAAUUUGAAACAGAAAAAAAUUUCUCUAUUGAAAGAGAGAAAAGCAGUACCUGAAAAAAUUAAGUUCAAUUAUAAAGAGAAAAGAAUUUAAAAAAAAUAUCUAUACUACGAAAAAAAUUUUAAAAACUAAAUUAAUCAAUAAUUUUCACCAGUAGAAAAUUUGAAAUAAUUUUACAUUGAAAUAAUUUAUAUUGAAAAAAUUUUAAAUGAAAAAAAAUUUUGUCCUUUAAAGGAACAAUAAUUGAAAAAAUUAAGUUUAGUGAGAAAAAAAUAAGAAUAGAAAACAAUUUAUCUAUAAUAUAAACAAUAAAAUUUAAAAAUGAAAUAAAUAAAAAAAUAAAUUUCUACUUAUUUAAACUUUCCUUUCACAAAGAAAAAUGAGAAUACUCUUCUUUUAAAAAGUCAAAAAGAAAGUCUCUCCUUUUGAAAUGAGAUACAAUCUCUCCGUGGAUGGAGAGAUUCUCUCCGUCCACGGAGAUCUUUUUUCUUUUUUGCUUAUUUUUUAUUUAUAUUUUUUUUGUUCAUACUAUAUUCAUUUUAUUUUAUUUAAAAUUUUUUUUAACUCUUUUCUUAUUAUGAUAAAAUUUAUUUCUUUUAAUUUUAAUUAAAUAAUAUUAAUAUAUUAUUUGUUUCAUUUUUGUAACUUUAAUUUGUUUAAUUUUUUUAAUUAAAUAAUAUUUAUAUAUUUUUUAAGAAAGUAAUUUGUUAAAUCUGAAUUAAAUAAUAUUUAAUUUUAAUUUUAAUUAUAUCAAUUUAAUUUAAAAACUUUAUAAUAAUCUUUUUCUACUUUUGCCUGCAAUCCCUUUUUUAGUUUUUAUAUUUAGUUUAUUUAUUUAUUAUUAUAUAUUGGAUUGGAUUGUAUAUUAUAUAAUAUAUAUUAUUUAAGAAAGUUAUUUGUUAAAUUUGAAUUAAAGAAUAUUUAUUUUUAAUUUAAAAAUUUUAUAAUGAUUUUUUUCCUAUUUUUGCUUGCAAUUCCUUUUUAUAAUCUUUAUAUUUAGUUUCUUUUCUUUAUUGUUAUGUAUAUAGUAUUGGAUUUGAUGAAGUAGUGUGAAAAUAGAGAAAUAUUUAUAUAAAUAUGAUUUAAGAAAUAGUUCGUUGUGUUUGCAACGGAAAUGAUAAAAAGGGAACUAAAUUAUGUGCAACAACCUAUUAAUAAUUUCAAUAGUAAUAAUGUAUUGCUAUUCAACAGUAUUUUAACCGUAGUCUUUACCCGAAGGUAUACGAUUAGGUUCGUGUACAUAGACACAGACAUAGACAGAUCAUGUUACUUUUUUUCAAAAUUACAAAAUAAAAUACUCAUGACUCCUAUUGUCAUAAAAGUAAUAUAGAUGUUGUUCACUCAUAUUUUUGUUUUGAGGUGAUUACAGUGUUUCGAUUAUCAUUUUCAUCAGUUUUGUAGCCUAUAUGAGUCUUUUUCUUAGCUUUUGACUCUGCUUCAGUAGGUACAUUUGAUGGUUGGAAGAGAGACCUUUUUGCAUGUGGUGGAGUGAUUUCUUCAAUGGCUAUGGAAAUUUCAUUGACUUGGCCAUCAACUUUGCUCUUAUCCUUUGCAUCUUUGUUCUUUGAACUUUCUUUCAUUUUAGUUGGCCUGUUCGCAUCAUUUGUGAUAAUUGAGGAAUUUAUUUCAGUCGGCGUGGAGGAGUUGAAUACGAAUAUGAUUUCAAAGCGGUACUCAGGUGGGUCGUGGCACUUUUCUUUCGCCUUUAGGUAAAAGAGCAUCUUCGUAUCACUUUGCAAUUUCCCGAUAUCAUUGCGUUCGGUAUUUUGUUCCUGUGGUAAAUGAAAUAUAUUUUCAAUAUAGUGGCAUAUUUGUUGUGAAAAAAGAAAGCAUUAUUGAAGGAUGUUGGAUGUGAUGUUCUACUUUUUCAAGAUGGUCCAUUAUUGCAUUGGCAUUACUUUCCAAUAAUACCUCUGUUGCAUCUCCUAUGAUGAUUGCAUUUAAUAAACCAAAUUUGUCUUCAAGUUGUACGAAAGCAUUAACCCUAAAAAGUUUUUUUUUCUAGCUAUGCAUUAUGUACCUUGUUCAUGAAGUAAUUAUUAGUAAAGCUUAGAACUUUUGUUUAAUGGAAGAAAUCAACUCGGGAUAGCUUUUGCGUGUUCAUAUUCGCAGAAGCUUUAUGAAUUUAUCCAAAGUUUGCAUUGGACGUCUUCUUCUAGUUGCUGCAGGACACAUACCAAAAUUUUUUGAUUCUUGAUACUAUUUUCCAGUUUACAUUCACCCAAUAGAAUAUUUUCUGUUAAGAAAAAGAUGUCUUAUGUAAUUAGAUAGGGAGAUAGUACGAAGGAAAAUGCGUGAUGUUACUAUAAUGUGUAUUAUGAAAUACAUAGAGAAUGUAUUCAUGCUAAUGAUAUUCAGCCCUUGUUUGGAAGACAUUUUUUGGGCAAAAAAAUUCAUUUUUCUACCUUUAGCACCAAAAGCAGCCAUUUUUUUGACCAAUACACUCUUAUGUGGUGCCUAGGUGACCAAAAAAGGGUCCUUAAAUUACUUUUCUUCUUCCAAAAAAUGUCCUCCAAAUAGGGUCUUAGUUCGUUAGUUUAGAAUUACCAUUAGAUAGACUCCUAGUAAAUCCUUAAUUGGUGUCAAUUCAUUCUCAGUUGAAGGAGAAAGUUUUGGUGGGCUAACAGCAAAAAAAUGUUUAUUCUCUGUCAACUUGUCAAAUGUUUUUUUGUUAGCUUCCACCCUGCAAGAAAUAAUGACAUAUUUAGUUCUAAAACGUAACUCUUUCUUUUUUUUUUCCUCUUUUUUUUGUAUGAAAGUUGUAAAAGCAAUAUGUUUAUUAGGUAUGUUGUAGUACCAUUCUUUGUACUCUGCAACGGUCAGUAGUUGGACAUUAAUGAAAAAAUCGUUAUUUAUUUUGGUUGAAAAGUGUGAUGCCUGUAGAAAAGAAAUUAGGAAUAAUUUAUAUUUCUUUUUUUUAAAAUAAUAAUAGUACUAUAGAUGAAAUUGUAUUUUUAAAUCGAAUUUACUGUUGUACGAAGAAACCUUGAGAUUUGUAGCCCGUUGCAAGCUUUUCAAUUAUUGUAGUGCAUUCUUAUUCGACAAAACUAUCCCAUAAUAUUAGUAUCACAAUUUUGAACUAUUUGUCUAUCAAGACAACAUCUUGUAGAUAGGCUUGUGUACCAAAGUUAGUUUGAAUAAGUCGUUUCUAUCGAAUAACUAUAGCGACACCCAUUACACUUACAAGAAGGUCACGUAAAGUGUGUUUUUUUUUUUUUUUAAUGUAUUUUGCAUGUAAUAAAUUUGAACGUAAAAAAUAAAUUAUGAAACAUUAUAUGAAAUGAUUAGUUUAAAUUUAUUGUGUUAGAAAUAUUACUUACGUUUGUAUUCUUGUCCAUAUGCUUGUUUAGUUGAUCAAAUGGAGUAAGUUCAUAUUUUGAGAACAGGAGAUUCAAGUUGUCCUCAUUUAAUUCUUCAACCUUCGUUCUUCCUGUUAUAUUCCAAAUUUUUUGCCCAAGAGAACUGCGGAAUCACUUUUGAAAUCUUUAACUGUUGUAUUUGAGACAACAUAUGUUUUUCCAAGUUGGAACUGAUCGUUUAGCGUAGUAAUAUUGUCAUCAUACAUUGUUGCUGUGACUUUGUUUCCCUGUUGAACAUUAGAAAAAGAUGAAAAUAUUUAGAAAGUAUGCAGGUAUAGUGAUAGGUAGAAAAUUAUUUUAGCGAGAAGUAUAUAUGUACCUCUAAAUCAAUGAGAGUAAGAUUCUGGUAACGACUAUUGAAAUUUCGAGCAGUUUUGGGGGAUUUUUUUUUGCGACGAUAACUUUUGCUAACCAAUUAGUCUUUGAAGCUGAAAUCUGUGGAAUGAAUUUAUGAGGUGUAGAUCUACCUCCAAGAAGUGCAUACGACUUUCAUCGAAUACGGCUUUCCAUAGCACGGGGGACCAAAUUAAGGAAGUCACUCGCUGCACCCCGGACACUCCGCAAGGGAAAAGUGGCUUUGUAGUCAUUUUUUAUAUCUGUAAAUGACAUGGACGAUAAGUUAGAGCGUAGAUAAGUAUAGCUAUGAAUGUAAGAAAGUAGUUAAUAUGGAGGAAGAAGAAGGAGGUUGUGUGAAUACAAGUUAGAAUUUCUUGUAGUAAUGAUAAUAUCUUUCUUUUUGCAGAUGUGGAGUUGAAACUUUGUAUUUGCCUAUUUAUAAAAUAUCAAAUUGAGACAUAGUAGUUUAAUAAAAUUUUAAUUUUGGAAACGUCAUGUUGAAAAGAUGAGAUUAAAGCAUUAAUGUGUCCAUAUAUCAGUUAUAAAAAAAGAAGGCAUUGAUGGGACCCACUAUAAUAUAUAAAAAUAAUAAUAGAAGAAGAAAGACUCAAUACAAACCGUAUUUUUUAAGUUUCAAAACUAAUAAAAUUAUUUAAAUUGUAAAAUCCUAUGAAUAGCCAUACUUUAUUGUCUAAAUGGCUAUACCUUACUGUCUAAUCACUGGCAUAAGACAUAGAGAUUACUCUAAAAUUUUACUUAUAGUACAAGAAUGACUUCAAUGGAAUUGGGGAGUAUUUCCUUAGUUCUUAUUAUUCUAUUAUAUAAAACUAAUAAACGUAAAAGUUUGGAAUAGGCAUAAGAUAUGGGGACUACUUGAAAUGUUUAAUUUAUAGUACGUGAAUGAUAUCCAUGGAAUAAUUGAGUUAGUAAAACACUUUUUAAAUUCAUCAAAGUUAGUAAGAAAGUAGAAAAAAGAUGUAUCUAUACUGUAAAAUCUUAUCGCACCCAUACUUUAAUCACUGGCAUGAUUAGAUAGAUAUAGGGAAGUAAAGUUUUACCUAUAGCAUAGAAAUAGCUUUGAAUUGUUUGAAUUAAGAAUAUCCAGUAUAAAUUACAUCGAAAAAAAUUUAUGUUUUGUAUUUUUUUUAGAAAAUAUAAAUUCAUGUUAUAAAUUAAUUCAUUAAUUUAAAUAAUACGUAAAUAUAUAAAUAUGUACAUUUAUAAUAAAUAGUAAAAGCAAAUAUAAAUUAUUUAUCUAGAAUGCCUUUUACUACCAUACAUAUAAUACAUUCCUUAUCCUUAUCUAUACAAUUCAUUCUCAAUCUCAAAGUCCUCAUUCUCUAUCCUAAAGCAAGAGUCAAGUCCAAUACAAGCAAUCACCACCCAUAGCUUGAAAAGGUAAGCAUUUACUUGAGAAAUUUAGUUCACAAGUGUAGGAGAAGGGUCGAUCUCCGCGCACGGAGGCCAUGAGGCCUUCAUGAGCGGAGCCCCAAGGGUCUCUGCGCACGGAGACCCUUGUGUGGAGAUCCAAGGGUCUCCACACACGAAGUUCUGAAUUUCUAUAUUCUUGAUGUAUUUUUGAAUUUUUACAAAUAUAAGUCCUCUUUGUUUAGAAUUGUUAAAUUUUCUUACAAAUAUUAUUUUUUGAAUUAUUUAUGCAGAUAUUUUUGGAAUAUAUAAUCUCUCCAAAUCAAUGGUUUUUUGCUUUUAUCACUCAUUAUCCAAAUCAUAAACACCUUAAAGAUUUUAUUGAAUUUAUAGAUGCAAAUCAACAAUGUUCUAUGAUGUGUAGUAAUUUUUAUGGAUUUAUUUAUGGAGUUGUUUAUUGAGGAGGAGAAGAGCAAUUUAGUAGUAGAUUCGUACAUGAAUUUGUAAUGCGACUUGUACAUUGUGGCAAGAAUAAUGAAGUUUAGGUAAGAUUAGUGACCGUAUUGUUAGGUUUGGUAUGAAAGAAUUUUGCCUUAUCACUAGAUUACCUUGUCAUGAACCGGUCAUAGAGAUUGAUCAUAAUAACAAUCGUCUUAGAAACAUUACUUCAAUGGUAGUCAAAGAAUUAGCAUGAGAAUGUUCUUUGAAGUUUUCCAUCAAUGUUAAGACGAAGAAGAUAAAUUUAAGUCGUGAUUAGUUAUGUGGUGGAGUGUGUUAUGAAACCAGUUGGAAGAAUUAUUGAUUAUUGGUGAAGCACCUUGAUGAAUUUCUUGCAUAUCCAUGGGGUUGAAAAGCGUACUUUGUUUUGUUAAAUUUAUAGCAAGAAUCACAAUUGCAAAGAACACAAAGAGUACAACAGAAUGAACAAACAAAUUGUAAGUAUGCAUUAUUGGAGUAUCCACUUGCAUUUCAGGUAUUUUUAUAUAUUCUUUUAUUAACUUAAUUUAUUGGUAAAAAAAUAAUAAUUGUAAUUUAUAAUUGCGUUGCAGUAUUGGAUAUAUGAGGUGUUUUCAGAAAUUGGACGAAAAUUCAGACGUCGUCGAUACAAAAUAGCACAAGGUCCACGAAUGUAUAGAUGGAGGCAUAAUAAUAUACUGAUUGAAAAAUUGGUUAAACAUUUUUUUGGCUUCACGAGAGGUAUGAUUUUUUAAUGAAUGUAUAAUUACAUUUGUGUUUAAUUAAUUAAAUAUAAGAUGUAAUAAAAUGAUUCUGAUAUUUUAUUAAAAUUACAGAUUCAAGUAAUUACAGUGUUACACCCUACAGAAGAAGAAUUGGAGACAUCUUGUAUAUAAAUCUUUCACUGCCAGUUGAUCACCAAUAGAGAACUGGAUAAUUUGGCACAACAAAUCCCAGAUAGCACUUUUGAGAAGAAAGGGAUAACAUAUAUGUGCAAGAGACGAACAUUACCAGUACCUCAAGAACUUUACCCGCAAUCAAGCCUAAUUUUGGAUCUAGCACCUCCAAUUAUGUAAUUGAAGACUGAAUGGUAGAACUGCUAGAUAUCCAAAGGCAAGAUAUAAUAAAAGAUGUGUACGAUAUAUGAGGCAACUUGAGAACAGAAAUUUAUGACAACCAAAGACUGUUGUUCGAACAACACCAAAAAUGGCAAGAAGAUCACAUGCAAUCUAGCAUGUAUUCCUACAUGGAUAAUUCAUUAUCAAGUUUCUUCAACACACAUAUGGAGAAUGACAACAAUUAUUCCAACAAUAACAAAAAUGGCAGGAAGAUCAUUAUCAAACCAUGCACUCUUAUGUGAAUACCAAUUUAGAUUCCAUGUGAUAUUAUGUUGAUGAACAAAAAAAGAAUAUGCUGCAGAAAUUAUUUGACUCGCAAUCAAAGAUAAAAGCCAUUAUAAGUUUACGCAACAAGACAUUCCUAUUGGUAGAGGUCCAAUUCCCAAUGAUCAACCAAAGGAUGCGUCAACGUCUCAACAUGUUGAAAGUUCUGAAACACUGUGAAGAGAGAGGAAAAGAAGGGAAAAUAGAUACAAUCUUCGUCGUCUACAAGACAUCCUUUGGAAGACUAUCCUAUGGAAAUGUACAUUACGCUUAGAGACUGGAUAGUGAAGAAUGAAUCGGGGUAACAAAGAACAUUCUUUAUUGUUGGUCUAAAUACUUAAAUUUUAUUUCAAUUUAUUCAACACUAAUUUAAAUUGUGCUAUGCAGUGCAUAUUAGGAAAGUGCCAUUGGGAAUGUCUAUGGAAGAGAUUGGUUGAGAACUUUAUUGGAUCAAACAAAAGAUAUAAAUGUUGCGAUGAGUAAACUUUAGCCAUUACAAUCAAUUUCAUUUUAUACUUAAUAUAUUUAAUUUGUAUCUAUUUAUUCUACUAGCAAAUUGAGCUAGAGUUGAAGUUGUUGAGGUGAUUCAUUAAUGAUGGUUGCACCCUCGUAUCUAAAGAAUAUGCAAUCAUGGACUUUGUAUUUGAAAUGGAAUGUGCUCGUAUGAUGACUUGGCAAAGGGACUUUCGAGCGAGAAUGAACAAAGGUCAACCAGAUGGAACUGUCUUACAACAACAUGUGAACUACAAAUUGCCUAUAGAGAGUCGUCCAUGGGUAGGGUGCAAGUAUUUAUUAAUUCCAUACUCAUAUCCGAAGAAUACUUGGUAUCUUUUUUUUGUCAAUAUUUCAGAGUGAAAAUUCUAGAUAUAAAAUUGCAGCCAUAAUGAGCAUACACCAGAUUAAGUGAAGGCACAUGCAAAUGCAACACUUACUGUGGUUAAUUCAUUAUUGUUUGACCAAGCUUUUGCCGUGAGACGAGAUAUAAGGAAAAACAGAAAUAAAGAAAUGGAGCAAGAGAUAAUACCAUACCUACCCUAUGUAAACAACGGGUAAACAUUAAAAACGUUUCUUAUUUACUAUAACAUAUAAUUAUUCGUACAUACUAAUUUAGUAUAACAUAAAAUAUUUCUUUUACAGGUCGAACUGUGCAAUUUUUAUACUUAAAUAUAUAGAAUGAUUUGUUCUGGGGCAUCCGAUAAAAUCAGUUUCACUAGACAGGAUGACUAUAUAGAUGGAAAAUUGCAGUUGAUAUUUGUCAAAAUGAAUAUUUUCUUCAUCCCCAUCCGUCUUCUUGAUUGUAAUGGAGUAGUGCAGUUCGCCUGAUUGUAAUGGAGUUUUUGAAUGGCUGUUCAGAAUAUACUUUAUUCAAAUGUUACGUAAUUUUGGUAGCUGGGUAUAACUUGUUGAUAUUUCGAGAAUAUGAAAUAUUCAUGUUAAAAUUAUGUAACCAAAAGGAAAAAAGGGUAAAAUGAAGAACAAAUCAUAUUUGGACAAGAAAUCAUACCUAAAAUUCUCUUUCGUCAUUUUUCCUUUUGAUUGAAUUAUACGUUGAGAAUUGUGUGCUUAUGUGGACGAUUGCAAGCCUUCUGGAGUUAGCACGUGUAUUCUUAAACUAACUCUAAACAUUUAUAUCACAAAUUAGAUCAUGUAACGAUUAUUUAGAGACUCUCUAUGUGAUCUUUGACUUGCUUGGAGUUGUAUUCCCUCGAUCAAAUACAGAUUCAAGAACGUAGAGCUGUGCAAAUUUAGGUGUCCAAUAUUGUUUGCUCAUAAAUAAUUAUGAAACAAAGCAAGUACAACUACAACCAUGGACAUUGAAAACAAAGGGAUGGACAAGGACACAAUCCUGGAAACGAAGUCAUUCGGUAAAACGUGGAAAUGAUAUAGAUAGAAAAUUACUAAUAUGAGAACUUUUGUGACUUUAUGUUUUUCUGCAUUAAUGUUUUGAAAAUCAUUUUAAAAUUUCCUGUUUCUUCGUAUUAUAAAAUUUUUUUGUUCGAUUUAAAAUUAAUUUUGUUCUAUAAUUUGUUAAGUUUUAAUUGUUGAAUAUUUGUUUAUAAUUUUAAUUAUGUCAAUUUAAUUUCAAAACUUUAUAAUAAUUAUUUUCUAUUUUUGCCUGCAACUUUUUUGUUCUUUAAUUUGUUGAAUUUUUAAGUUUCUGUUCUUUAUUAAAUAUUGAAUUGGAUUAAGUGAAGUGAAGUGACAUGUGAAAAUGGAAAAACAUCACAGUUUAGGAGACGAUUGCAGUGAAGUGGAUUGUGAAAAUGGUGAAAUGAUUGAAGAGAAUAUGAUGUUAAUCUUGCUCUCACCUACUCUAAAAAAAAUUUUAAAAAAAUUUUCAAAAAAUAUAUAGAGAAAGCAAAACAUGGUUACAAAAAUUAAAUAAAGAAUAUAUAAGUAUUAUUUAGCUUAAAUUGAAAAAAAUUAAAUAGAAAAAUUAUCUAUAAUAUAAUAUGAACAAAAGAAAUAAAAAAUAAAUAAAUAAGGAAUUUUUUUUUCCAUCUAUCUUAUAUGUUUUGAAUGUGACACACAGUACUCUUUUUUCAUUUUCUCACGUUAUCAACAUUGACCUUAUUCUAUAAUUUGUUAGUAAUAAUAUUUUUUUAAAUAAUUUUUUCAUAAGCGUUAUUCUUUACUUGUAACUAAAAAGAUCACUUCAAGUUAUUUAAAAUUAAAACGAACUUAUAAUUGUAAAACCUACUUAUAGGUAAAAAAAUAUUAAUCCCUCAUUUUCUUAUAAUUGCAAAAGCUAUUUAUAAGUAAAAAAAUAUUAACUUAAAAUAUUUUUAAUUAUAAAUAUUUAGAUAUAUUUAGGUUUUUAAAUUAAAUAUUAAUAAAAAAAUUACACUAUCUAAAAUGUAAAAAAUUACUUCUAAGUAAAAAAAUCACUUCAAGUUCUUUAAAAAUAAUAACAAAACUUAUAAUUGUACAAGUUACUUAUAGAUAAAAAAAUAUUAACUUCAACAUUUUAAAGUAAAUAUUUAGAUAUAUUUAAUUUUUUUAGAUAAAAUAUUAAUAAAAAAUUUAUUAUAAUUACAAAGAAAAAAAAACAUAUAACAAUUGCAUGCAUGGAAUGAAAAAAUCACUCCAUGUACGACACUCCGUGCAGGGAGUGGAAAUCAAUGAAAAAACUUCCUUGUACACAACAUUUUUAGUACAUGAGUUGUGCGUAUGAUUUGUGUUCGACAGUUUUACUAGAACUUUUAUAGAUCUGCUUGUUUUUGCUCUCGAUAAUACUACAUAUAAUUGACAAUGGCAAAAAAUCGAUUCUGGAAGAUACAAACCUAUGAAAUCAAGUGUUUGGUUCUGGGCUUUAUUUAUUGUCAUUGCAAAGCAUGAUCUAAUUGGGAGCUGAGUUCUUUUAAAUGGAAUUGUAGUUCGAUCAGUUUUAAGAGGUAUAAAAGGGAUCAUAGAUAAGAAAACUUGUUUUUCACGAUAUUCACCACUUGUGAUUUUAGCAAGAAUAACAUUUCUCUCAAAUUUUAGACAAGCAAGACGUGUUCCAUCAUAUAAUCCCUUAGAAGGAUUGAUUUCUGUAAUAAUUAUACAGGACAAUUCACCUUAAGUUUCAAACCACGAGGUGGAAUACCAUUUGGUGUCAAGGUAAUCAAGAAGUCUUCCUAUAGGCUUUGUUCUGAUUUCUCCAUUACUUCAUCAAAACUAUAGUAUGAGAAACUUUGACCAGGAAUUUGUUCAAACAAAAGUCCGUUAAUAUAGCUGACACAUUCAUUUGUAGGCGUAAGAAUAACUCGAUUCACCAUUGCAUGUAAAUGAUCGGCAUAUGAUUCUAUAUUGGGAAAAACACAAUGUAUCAAAUUUGUUAAAAAUGUAAUUUCAUCUUCGAAUGGUAAAAUUAUACUAUUUGGUAGUUUAAUACACUUACAAGUAUGUUCUUGUUCUGUUUCAUCUCCAAUUUUAAGUAAGUAUUCACAAAAUAUGGGAUCGGACUUCACGCUCAUAUUUUCAACCAAUUAUAAAUGUACAAAAAAAAAGCCACAAAUAUAAGUAAAUCAGGCUAGCUUUGACUAUAUCUUCGUUGUUUCCUUUAGGUACAACUGGUAAAAUUUGUCUAAAAUCUUCUCCAAAAAUUACUACUUUUCCACCAAAAGGCAAGUUACAAUUAAUAAUGUCUCUAAGCAUUUUGUCUAUAGCUUCAAUAGCACAACGAUUUACUAUAGGUGCCUCAUCCCAAAUUAGUAGCCUAUAUAUUUUCAACAAAGUUUCCAUGGCUGAUUGUUUGCUAACAGAGCAGUUGACUUCUCCUACCGUUUCUAAAGGGAUUUUAAAUCUUGAAUGAGUAGUUCGACCUCCAAGGAAUAGAGAUACAACCACUUCAGAUGAUGCAGUUGCCAAAGCAAUUAAAUGUCGAUAUCUCACACCAAGUAAGAGUGCUCUAUACAAAAAAGUCUUACUUGUCCAUUCUGGACCAUCAAUGAAAAAAGUGCCACUUGAUUCAGUUUUUACUCUUUCCAUAAUCAUAUCUUAUGCAAUCUGUUAUUCUUUAUUUAAUGUUGCUAAAUAACUAAAACCUCUUUCAAUUUCCAAAUCCGUUGUUUCCUCUGCAACCAUUCUCAUCAAUCUUUCAUCGUCAUCUAUAUUUACAUUAAACGACACAAUUCUAUAAUUAUUUAUAUAUUCUUACCUAAUGAUUCUAAAAUAGACCUAUAUCCUCUAGAGCUCGUAUUUCAACAACUUUAAUAGGCAUAUUUUGAUGUACAUAAUCAUCAGUCAUAUAGUGCUUCAAUUUAACCCAUAGUAACUUUGGAUUAUUGGGGUUGCAUAUUGUAAGAUGCAUAGCAAAGAGAUGUCUUAAAGAACAAGGCAUUUCAUAAAUAAUAGUUUUGGAUAAACAUUCUUCACAAUGAUUAUCUCCAUUUAAUAAAUCAUGUAGAAACCCAGCUUCUUAAAAUGUCCCAACAUUUACCCCCAUUUGAAAGUUCUUAUAUCGUUAAAUGAUGUUGGGCCUCUAAUAUGAUUACAAAGAAAGCGAAGAAAAUAUCAUUUUCCUUCAGAUGGAUUCACUGAGACAAUUCAUCCUAUAAUAAUCUGUUUCUUUCUAGGAGUCCAAAUUUUGUUAUUUGCAUUUCAAACAAAAUGUAUUGGAAAAUAUCGAUACAAAAGCGUUCGAGCAAAUUCGUUUACUUUAUUACUCGUAACAUUGUUAUUCUCGUAUUUUCAUUCUCAACAACAGCAGAUAAAUCGUCCGUAUUUUUGUAUGUUAUACGUUGAUGAUCUUCAAUAUGAAAUUGUAGAGCACAAACAAAUGGAUAGAUUUUUGAAAAAUUGAAAGAAAAAAUCCUCUACGUAGCUUCGGGUGGAGAUAUCCAUCUAACAGAUUGGUAAGUAGAGAUUUUAUUAAUAUCUUUGUCUGUCUCAUUUUUGCCAACAAAAAAAUAAUAUGAUCAUUUCAUUUGUAUACAUAUUUGUAUAAAUAUUUUAUAGCUUUAAUAGAAGAACAUACUUCAACAUUAAUAUGCCAGUCAAAUUUUGCACUUAAAUAAGGAUUAUAUGGUACAACGCAUUGAUUGUCUAACAUUUGAUCUCUCGCUUUAACACAAAUACCAUUAUUACGCCGCCAAUACAAUGGUUAUAAAUUAUCUCUAAAUAUAGUGUUAUUACAAUAAUCAUUCGGAUAUUUAUUUUUACAACCGCUAUUUGUCACCAUACUUGCAUUUUUAAGAUUUAGAUUUUCGCAAGGACCAUGCAUAUUGUGCUUUACAAUAAUAGAAUAAAGAUGAGGGUGUAUGUUUUUAUCAGGAAUUUCACAAGAGACUAUCCUAUCAACUUGUUGAGUGGAAUAAAUUUUAUGGCCACAGCUAAAAAUCAACAACAAAUGUUCGUGAGGGAGACCACUUUUUUGAAAUUCAAUCACGUAUAAAUGAGCAAUAAUAGGACCAAAAAUAUUGUUCUUAUAUAAAUCAUUUUUAAGCUCUUCUAAUUUUGCUCUAAAUACACGUACAAUCAAAUUUGGUCAAUUUUGAACCUCAUUAUUGUAUUUUAAUUCUUACUUAAUUUUUGGCUAAUUUGGAUUACAUGUUAUAGCUAAGAAUAAAUCUGAUUUUCCAUAACGUUGGACAAGAGCCAUAGCAUCUGAGUACCUCCCUAACAUAUCUCUAGUUCCACAUGUAAAUAGGGAUGUAAACGAGCCGAGCCGAGCCGGCUCGCGAGCCGAAAAUUUGGGCUUGGGCUCGGCUCGAGUAAAUCAUAGCAGGCUUUUUUUGGGCCCGAGCCUAGCCGAGCCAAAGCUUGGCCAAAAAAAUAAGGCUCGGCCCGAGCUUUUUGGCUGGGGCUUUUUACGGGCCAGCUUGAUUUUUUAAUUUUUUUUUUUUGUAAUUUUUAACGACAUUUUUUUUCACAUGCUAAUUGUUGUGGUGCAAUUUGUUUAGUGUAGAAAGUAAAGAAAUUGUUUAAUGACUUUUUUUGAAAGAAUUUAAAAAUUGCAUCAUUUAUUAUAUAUACAAAUUAAAUAAAAGUACAAUUUUCAAAAUUAUGUAAUUUAUACGAUUAACAAAAUAAAUAAAAGUUACAAAUUACAACCCUCCUCCUUUUUUCGGGCUUGGGACCGACUACAAUCACCGUAGGCGGAGUUAAAAUUGUACACGAAUAAAAUAUUUCGUGUACAAUUUUCUUGAAUCAAAUAAAUUAAAAAAACACAUUUCUUAAAGAAAAAUAAUUAAUUUAAAAACUUACAACAUUCUAUGUUUGGAUAUGCUGCAACUCUUCAGCCAUUAUACUAUCAACGUCUAUCAUCAUAAGCGGCAUCUCUGCUGCAGCCACGUAUGCAGCCAUUCCUUCACGAAAUUUUUCCUGUGAAUGUACAAAGGUGGAAAGAGUAGAAUUAGAAUUGCCAAACAUUAGUUCGGUCUGUUUCGAGUCGAGAUCGGCUGGUUUCGCUUUGCAACUCCUUAAUACGUGUCUAUUCAAAUGCGUUGUGCUCGAGCCAGGGUUCCAACUAAGUUCUUUGCCACAGUAAUUGCAACAUGCUUUCCAAAUAUCUACCCCAUUUUGAACACCAAUUUUUUUUUCAUGUCAUAUGUUGCCAACAGUCCGAUGAUUCUUUUUUUGACCUUUUUGUCUCCAGUACUUGAACUUCUUCCGCUUCAAUAUCCUCCAAAUUAAUUGGAACAUUUUCACAUGCAUCGUAGUUAGAUGGAGUACUCGAGCUAUCGCCAAACUGAUUAAUUUCAUCAGUUGUAAAAUCCAUAAUAACUAGUAUAAUAAAAAAUAUUGAAUAUUAGAUUGUAGAGUGAAAGAACUUGAAUAUAUUAAUUGUUAUAUGAGAAGUGAGAAAGAAGAAAUUGAAACUUGAAUGAAUGAAUCUGAAUCUAUAAUAUAGAAAUAAUGCGAAUUAAAAUCGAUAGCAAAAUGAUUUAAAACUUUAAAAAUCAUCCCGUAUUUAUAGAUAAAAAACCCGCGUUAUUUUUCAAAUUCGAAUUUCAAAAUCAAUACGAUUAAAGGUAACAGUGUAACACCACUACGUAAAAAAUGCCUGCCCUAAGCCCCUAGCUGGCAGCUAUAAAGCUGUCUAAAAAGACACCUUUAUAGCUGCCUAGUGGGCAGCAUGUCAAAUUUUUUUAAAAUUUUUUUUUUGGUCCUUUAAUUUGCUCAGGCCGAGCAUUAUUGUCACGGGCCAUUUUUGGCCUGUGACACGAGCCAGCCCGUGUGGCUCGCCUCUUAUUUUGAGGCUCAGCCCGAGCCUAGGCUCGGUCACUCCGAGCCAUGAGCUGGGCGGGCUCGGACUUUUCCCGAGCCGAGCCACGAGCCGCCCGAGCCACCAAGCUUUUUUAACACCCCUACAUGUAAACGAUUAUGAUAAAACAAAUUUCUUUCCAAUUUUGUACCAUCUAAUUUCUCCUUUAUGUACACUAUCUACAAUACCUUGAUAAAGUUCAACACAAAUUUGUUUAUGAUUAUUACGAAAAUAAUCUAACCUGGAUGUCUCUAUCUUAACGUGUAUAUUUACAACAUAUUGUUGGAAAAGUCUGUCAGUAUGAAGCAACACAAACUUACGAAAAGGUCUAAUAUGUAACUUUUACAAUAGUACUCAGGAUAUGAUACCUGAGACCGUUUCUUCGUUUCUUUAAGCACUGCACAAGGAAAAAUGAAGCAAAUUUUAUAUUUACUUUAAACACCACAUUUAUGGGGCUAUAAGAGAGUCACGAGAAAGUAUAUAAGCAAACAUUCAGCCUCUUUUUCAAUAAUUUAAGUUGCAGAAUUUAUCAUAUUAGGAUUAGCAACAUAGUCGACCAACAGCUCGAGCUAAGAAGAUGUGUGUUCGUAUCUUCGAAUACCUUCAUGCCAACCACAUUCACCAAACGGGAAAAGUAAGAGGUAUUGCAAAGGAUCAUAACAACCAUAAUAAUAAUGAAGCCUAUGCGAAUCACUAGAAUGACCAUAUUUAGUAAUACCACGAACAUGAAUAUUUGCAUUUUCUUCUUCCUCAACCCAUACAGCGGAUACUUGAGAUGCUGAUAGAGUAUUAAAGACUCUCUGAUCGAGUCCUAGGUGACAUCUUAUUUGUAUUUUAUGGUCAUACAAAUCGGUUAUAUUACUUAAAGACCUGAAGAAUUUACUAUACGAAUUUACCUUUAAGAUUUCAAUUAGAAGAGGCAAAGUGGAUUCUACCAGAUUUUUCGAAGUUUUCAUACACUUUUGAAGUUCAUUAUCUGUAUCAUAAAAAUAUAUUUGCAUAUAACAAGGUGUAUUAUUAUCCAACAUAAGUUGAUUUACAUAAUGAUAUACUUGUUCAUGAACUCUAAAUGUGUAAAUACCUUUGUAUGUUUUAAAGAGCUCCUUAUCGUACUUUACACCAAAUGAAGUGAAAGCAAAGUGGUUAUUAUAGCCACGCGUAAGUUUUUUAAAUUCCAUACAUGCAUGCUCUUUAGACGUAAAUAAAGCAUACAAUUCAUCCGGUGAAUCAGGCAUAAAAAGUUUAACUUUUCCAUCAGAACAACAAAAACCUUUAGUUUCUCUAUACAAUUUGUGUGCACCACAAUGCUUACAAUAAGUGCAUGUCGAUAAUACAUAUACAGUGGUAUAUUAAACAGAUUAAAAGUUCCAUGUAAUUCAGAAUAAAAAACAUUUGUUGUUUCUUCAUUCGAAGUAGAAGACUCAGAAUGUGAAUGUAUUAUAUAUUCAUACACAUAAUCAACACCAGAACUAUUAUUUUUAGAUAACAUAUGAUCAUUUAUCUUUUUACAAUGAUCAAUACUUACAGUUUGAAUUCGAUUCCUCCUAUCUGCUUGCCUUCGAUUUUGUUGUUGGGGAUAAAAGCAUUAUAUGAUUUAUUUGUGCUUUGGGACAAUGUUUUAAGAUCAAAAUAACCAGGCUCAUCAUUCGUAGAUUUUUGCAGAGAAUCCAUCAAAACAAUAAUUUUACCACUAAUUUGAAUAAUAUGAAAAAUUAUUAAUUUAGUUAAAAACUAACAAAUAAUAAUAAUAUGUAAUACAUCAGUUUAAUUAAAAGAAAAGUCAAAAAUCAAAAGAAGAAGAAGAAGAAGAAGAGGAAGAGGAAAACGGUGGCUUAGGCGGUGGAUAUAUAUAAAUAUAUAUAUCCACCAAACUCAAAACAAAUCCAUUUCAAUAUACACAAACACAAACUACACACCAAGAAGCCGAGAGCAAAGAGAAAGAGAAAGGAAAAGAGGAAAAAAAAAUAAAACAAAUUUCUCAACAUGUUAGAAAAUAAGUUAUUCUACAAUUAGGCUUGAAUUCUUCAAAGUUAAAAGUAAGUAAAAGGUUACUUAUUGUCAAGUUAUGUUUAAUUUUAUAAUUGUUUGAUUGUUAGAUUAAAUUCAAUUUUAUUGAAGAGGUUAAGUAAAAUAAGCUAUGAAAUUGAGUAAAAUAAAAGAAAAAUUAGUCUUAGUAAUUAAAAAGACUUUAAAAAUCGCUUAAACAUGAAAUGAUUAAAUUUGGGUAUCGCAUAUUUAAAUAUUGAAGUUACUUUAAAUAAUUAAUUUUUGAUUUAAAAAUUAUAUCAUAUUUUAGGCGACGAUACGGAUAUCGAGACAUCUUAUCAACUAAGUUGAUUUUGGCAUAUAUAAUUCUAUGAGUGGAGAAAUAUAAAUAUUUUUAUAGUAUUUAUAAAUUGAGUAUAUUAUUAAAGUAUGUACAAUUAUGUGUUCAAUUUUAUGAUUAUUACAAAAAUCUCUUUUAUUAUGAUACAUGUGGAAUCUUAAAGAUUAUUUAUGGCACAUUUAUAACUUGGUAUGUAAGGCAUGUGAUAUUCAGAUUUGUUUGGUAUGUGAUAUAUGUAAUAUUGAGAUCAGCCAGAAAAGUGCACAUGAUUAUAUACUUAUUCUAGUUCACAGAGGAGCCUUAGCCGUGUUCUAUGCUACACAGAGGACUCUUGACCUGACAUUGGUCUUGAUCGUGUACAUAUAAUUCACAGAGAGACCUUGACUGUCUUCUAGAAUUGAUUACCAGAGGUCUUGAGACCAAAUUUUGUUCACGGAAGUGGCCAAAGGCUUGUGGCGAAAGUUCUUAGCCCGUGGGGAGGAUUAUAGGUUUUAGUCAAGAUUAUAGCAUGAUUACCAGCUUAUGUUUAUAUUAUGACUUGAGAUGAUUGUUUACCAUGUUAUGUGAAUGUCUAACGUUUUGGCUAUAAUUAUAUGAUGUUAUCUUGCGAAUUAUUAAAUGAUAUGAACUCGAUUUUCGAUAAAAAUGUAAAAUUAAAAAAGUAUAAUUAUUUUUGAAUUUCUUUACUCACUGAGCUAUCAACUCAUAUAUUUUCUCGUAAUUUUUCAUACAUGAUAAGUGCGUUUUUACACACUUAUUUGGUCCACAAAACAUGACUAAUUGUUGAUAAAAGUGUUUGAAUAUGACUUAAUUCUAUAUAAUUUCGUUUUGUAGGACAAUGUUGAUGACUAUGGCGAAAUUCAAGAGAAAAUGAACGAAAAAAGGACCAAAAAGGGAGAAAAUGACAGGGACUAAAAUGCAUCACUUGAAUGAAUUGAGGACUUGGAUGAUAAAUAUUGCAUUGGAAUUUAAAAUGGGUCUUGAAUAACAGCAAAAGAAGCUGCCGAAUGGAGGAGAGAAAAUAAAAUAUAUUGGGCCUUAGUUUGGACUCUAUUUGGUAUCAACUUUGGACUCCUAAUUUGUUUACAAGACUACAAAAGGGCUUAAUUGUUUGGUAUAUAUAUGAUACACACGCACAGAUUGAAAAGGCAGCUGUGGGGGAGAUAAUUGGAACCCCUUCUGGGGAUUAUUCAUAUACGCACGUCGGCGGCUCAAGGCUGGGAAUUAAUUGUAUAUAUACAUACAGAAAGCCGAAAUCAGAUUGGUGAAGCCGGGGCUGAGUUGAAUAUAUUAUAUAUAGGCAGAAAAACGGCAAGUUGGAGGCCGAGAACUGAGUGCGGAAUUGAUAAAAUCUGAGUGGGCUGAAAAGUUGACUUAUAUACGUACAUAAUUCCCACAAAUCGGCCAGCUGCUGGGAAGGAAUUGAAGCAUACAUAUACAAACAAAAGGCAGCAGCUGAGAAUUAAUUGAGACUACAAAAGGCGGCUGCAAGGUGGAAAUAAAUAUACAUAAGGAACUGAAACCAAGCUGUGAGGAAAUUAAGGACAAAUCGACUGCCGGAAUUGGAAUUUUCAAUUGGAUAAUAGAAUUGGCGGCUGCAGAUUACAUAUUCAUAUUAUUUACACACGGCAAAGACGCGAAACGGAGUCGGACAGCAAGCUGUUGAAGGAAUAAUUUCAGAUUGCCUUUGGAAGGAAUUUGGAUGUUGAUCGCGUUCCGUCAAUUUUUGGUGAUUUCGUUCCACUUGUAUUUAUUUAAUUCCACUAUUAUGUUCAGGUAGACUUGUUCGUGCUAGGAAAACGAUGAACUUUGUUAUAUGAAUUUUUAAUCUCUAGUUUACGUUUUUGACAUUAAAACAUGCGUUUGGAAUUUGAAUGAUUUAUAUGCACUUAUUUUCUCCGCAAUUAUCGUGCACGUAAUUUGUGUGAGUUUGGUGACUUGUUCUNNNNNNNNNNNNNNNNNNNNNNNNNNNNNNNNNNNNNNNNNNNNNNNNNNNNNNNNNNNNNNNNNNNNNNNNNNNNNNNNNNNNNNNNNNNNNNNNNNNNNNNNNNNNNNNNNNNNNNNNNNNNNNNNNNNNNNNNNNNNNNNNNNNNNNNNNNNNNNNNNNNNNNNNNNNNNNNNNNNNNNNNNNNNNNNNNNNNNNNNNNNNNNNNNNNNNNNNNNNNNNNNNNNNNNNNNNNNNNNNNNNNNNNNNNNNNNNNNNNNNNNNNNNNNNNNNNNNNNNNNNNNNNNNNNNNNNNNNNNNNNNNNNNNNNNNNNNNNNNNNNNNNNNNNNNNNNNNNNNNNNNNNNNNNNNNNNNNNNNNNNNNNNNNNNNNNNNNNNNNNNNNNNNNNNNNNNNNNNNNNNNNNNNNNNNNNNNNNNNNNNNNNNNNNNNNNNNNNNNNNNNNNNNNNNNNNNNNNNNNNNNNNNNNNNNNNNNNNNNNNNNNNNNNNNNNNNNNNNNNNNNNNNNNNNNNNNNNNNNNNNNNNNNNNNNNNNNNNNNNNNNNNNNNNNNNNNNNNNNNNNNNNNNNNNNNNNNNNNNNNNNNNNNNNNNNNNNNNNNNNNNNNNNNNNNNNNNNNNNNNNNNNNNNNNNNNNNNNNNNNNNNNNNNNNNNNNNNNNNNNNNNNNNNNNNNNNNNNNNNNNNNNNNNNNNNNNNNNNNNNNNNNNNNNNNNNNNNNNNNNNNNNNNNNNNNNNNNNNNNNNNNNNNNNNNNNNNNNNNNNNNNNNNNNNNNNNNNNNNUUGGGAUCUUUUUUUUUUUUUUUUUAAUAAGUUGUAUUUAGUAGUUGUUGUUAGAUGUUCGAAUCUCAUUUUUUUGAUAAGGUAUUUUUUUCCUUCAAUUGAUGAAAUUAUCCAAACACUGAAUAUAUAUUUGUUGUACUAUUCAUCUUAAAUAACUUAGCUAGAUAAUAUACUUCUAUAUUUAGAAUAUCAUUUAUGGUGAAAUAUGUUCCUGCUAUGAAAACGAUGAACUUUGUUAUAUGAAUUUUUAAUCUCUAGUUUACGUUUAACACUUUUAUCAACAAUUAGUCAUGUUUUGUGGACCAAAUAAGUGUGUAAAAUGCACUUAUCAAACCCCCCAAACUUGAAGUAUUGUUUGUCCUCAAACAAGAUAGUGACUUAACUCUACACAAAACAUGGCUUGAUAACCUGUCGUGUCUCAAGAUUGGACUAAGUACUUGGCUUCAUAAAAAAAUUCAUUAGUGAAAGAAUGAAAUCAACCUUUACCUGUUAAAUGCAUACUUGACGUGUGUGUGUGUGAACUCAUGCCAACAUGUCAAGUUUAUGAUGGGGUUAGUCCCAACCCAGAGUGGUCAAAUAUGUCCUUACUUCACUCGAGAGAUACACAACCCCCCAAACUUAUUUUUUUCACUCAAUUAUCCCGGAGUUGUUUUUAAAGUUAGGAAUUUAGGUAACCGUAGUCCUUACCCUCUCUCAGUUUGGAUAGAUCUAACUACCACAGGUUCACAUGUCAACAAGUGAAGGCUCUCCUACAUUUGAUUGCUUCAACACUCAAGAUUAAACUAGGUUACUUACCUUGCCUCAAAGGUAUAGUUUCUUCCACCAAAUGUCCGAGGGCUUUUUUUUUUCAUGUUAUUGUCUCUCUUUUAUUUUUCUCACUUUUUUCUGAUUUUCUGAUUUAUUUAUUUAUUUAUUAUUAUCAUCUUCUCAUUUGCUUUCUAUAUAACCCAUGUAACGAGUUUUAGGCCGGUGACUUCGAAACCAGUUGGCUUUAGGGCACCAGGUUUUAAACCCUUGCAGGCUUAUUCACUCGAGUUAUAAAGGCUCGAUCAGAUGACUUUUUAUUAACCUCUUUCCCUCUUGCUUUCUAUAUGACCCUUGUAUUGAGCUUUGGGCCGGUGACUCCCAGACCAGUUGACCUUAGGGCACCAGAUUUUGAAAUAUCCUUACAAGCUUACUUGCUCGAGUCAUAAAGGCAUGAAAAGAAGUGCUAUUUUUCUACAAGUUAAUUUUAUGCCCAUUUUUUUUUUUAGACAUUUGGUUUCCAAAAUCAACCCCCAAUUUAAGAUUUUCACCUAAUCUUCAUCCCACUGGUCUAGGCAAUCCACACAAUAAAAUUCAUGCACGGAGCCCCCACUCAUCUCAAUGCUCCCCUAUAAUUGCUCAAUCAUCUCCAAACUAUCUUAAGGUAGGGUUAAUUCGAUAGAGGGUUAUCAUUCUUCUCCUACCUUGUGUUAAAAACCCUAAUCACUAACCUAAUAUGUCAAGCAUGAAUGACGUGCAUAAUAAAUGUCAAGUAUUACAUCAACAAGUAUUGGACAAUUUAUUCAGCACCACGUCCACAGUUUGUAAAUUAUACCAGUCCAAUUAUCACAUCAUAGCCGGCAAGGCUAUCAAGACCGAAUAAGUGUGUAAAAAUGCACUUAUCAAACCCCCCAAACUUGAACUAUUGUUUGUCCUCAAACAAGAUAGUGACUUAACUCUACACAAAACAUGGCUUGAUAACCUGUCGUGUCUCAAGAUUGGACUAAGUACUUGGCUUCAUAAAAAAAUUCAUUAGUGAAAGAAUGAAAUCAACCUUUACUUGUUAAAUGCAUACUUGACGUGUGUCUGUGUGUGAACUCAUGCCAACAUGUCAAGUUUAUGAUGGGGUUAGUCCCAACCCAGAGUGGUCAAAUAUGUCCUUACUUCACUCGAGAGAUACACAACCCCCCAAACUUAUUUUUUUCACUCAAUUAUCCCGGAGUUGUGUUUUAAAGUUAGGAAUUUAGGUAACCGUAGUCCUUACCCUCUCUCAGUUUGGAUAGAUCUAACUACCACAGGUUCACAUGUCAACAAGUGAAGGCUCUCCUACAUUUGAUUGCUUCAACACUCAAGAUUAAACUAGGUUACUUACCUUGCCUUAAAGGUAUAGUUUCUUCCACCAAAUGUCCGAGGGCUUUUUUUUUCAUGUUAUUGUCUCUCUUUUAUUUUUCUCACUUUUUUCUGAUUUUCUGAUUUAUUUAUUUAUUUAUUAUUAUCAUCUUCUCAUUUGCUUUCUAUAUAACCCAUGUAACGAGUUUUAGGCCGGUGACUUCGAAACCAGUUGGCUUUAGGGCACCAGGUUUUAAACCCUUGCAGGCUUAUUCACUCGAGUUAUAAAGGCUCGAUCAGAUGACUUUUUAUUAAUCUCUUUCCCUCUUGCUUUCUAUAUGACCCUUGUAUUGAGCUUUGGGCCGGUGACUCCCAGACCAGUUGACCUUAGGGCACUAGAUUUUGAAAUAUCCUUACAAGCUUACUUGCUCGAGUCAUAAAGGCAUGAAAAGAAGUGCUAUUUUUCUACAAGUUAAUUUUAUGCCCUUUUUUUUUUUUAGACAUUUGGUUUCCAAAAUCAACCCCCAAUUUAAGAUUUUCACCUAAUCUUCAUCCCACUGGUCUAGGCAAUCCACACAAUAAAAUUCAUGCACGGAGCCCCCACUCAUCUCAAUGCUCCCCUAUAAUUGCUCAAUCAUCUCCAAACUAUCUUAAGGUAGGGUUAAUUCGAUAGAGGGUUAUCAUUCUUCUCCUACCUUGUGUUAAAAACCCUAAUCACUAACCUAAUAUGUCAAGCAUGAAUGACGUGCAUAAUAAAUGUCAAGUAUUACAUCAACAAGUAUUGGACAAUUUAUUCAGCACCACAUCCACAGUUUGCAAAUUAUACCAGUCCAAUUAUCACAUCAUAGCCGGCAAGGCUAUCAAGUCCACACAAGCACACAAAAAUAAAGAAAAAAAAUGAAUAAAACAUACAAAUUUUUGAAAUUUUUUUUUCGACUUUUUUUUUGUUUUUUUUUUGUUUUUUUUUAUUUUUGUUUUUGUUUUUGUUUUUGUUUUUUUGUAACACUCAACUGGCACACGAAAUGCAACAAUUAAACAAAAUUAUUUAUGAACAUAGACAAAAUGACGAAAUUAUGCCCCACCCCCCAAACUUAUAUAGAACAUUGUCCUCAAUGUGAAAAUAGAAGUUUAAAAAUGCAUAAUUGAAGGACAAUAAUAAACUCAAAUGCAAGAUGGAGUACGAGUACUCCCCUGAUCAAAAUGAAGGUGGCUAAUGAAAAUUGGGACCCGUAGUACUGUCUCCUGAUGGUGGAGCUGUGACGUUCUUUUGGCAGCAUCUGCAAAAGUGCAAAGUAUGCAUAUUAGUCCACAUAGAGUAAACAAAUGCAAUUGAGGUAGGAAAUAAUCCACGUGGUGCACAAAUCCCCCAAACUUGCUUCAAAAUGCAUGUACAAGAAGUUGUUGUGUAAAAUACAUGAACUAUGUUCCAAGAUAGUGUUUUUAUCACAAAAAUGUGAAGCACCAACAAAACUUAGCUCAAAACAUACAUUUUGAUAGAAUUAACCCAUGACCAACUAAAACAAGACUUCAACCUCAUAACUCGUGCUCAAUGCAUAGGGAUUUGUGUGGAUCAUGCUUAGACUCUUUUUGACAUGUUUGGAUGAACGAUGACCUAAAACUACUGAGAAUGCUAAAAAUUGAAAAUAACAAUAAAAAAAAAUUCUUGAACUAAUGCAAAAGGCAAAAUAAAUAAAAGGAUACAAUGGGUUGCCUCCCAUCCAGCGCUAGUUUAUAGUCGAUAGCUCGACUGUUGCACAAGCGUUUCAUGGAACUUUGAAUACGGCUUUGGAUGUCCUGCUUAGCUUGCUCAAUUCGUCUUUCUUCCAUAUUGCAGCUUUCCUCCAAAAUUCAACUUUGUCCGUCUCCAAAUAGUAUGACUUUCCAUAAUCACCCGUUUCAAACUCGACAAUAUACACUUCAAUUUCUUCAUAAGGUUUAAUCACAAAUUCAAUAUUUGAGCAAACGAAGCCAGGGGAUUGCAUGCUAAUUUCCUCUUCUUUGAAUGCUGCUAACUCUUUCUGUACCUUACCGACUUCAUGAACGUUUGAUGGUUUCUUCAACUCAAAAUUGUAGGGAAUUUUUAUGUCAAGCUCCUCUAUCUGGAAACAGUUGUCUGCCCCAAUAGGAUAUUUCAUUGCCUGCUCCUCAUUCUCCUCCUCAGAAGGAGGUACUGUUUCUCUGUCUGCAUUUGAUUUCUCGACAUUGAUUUCUGGUAAUUGCACUCCACUUCGAGUUGUAAUGGCCUUGGCUUGCUCUUUGGGGUUGAUCUCUGUAUUACUUGGCAAGUUACCUGGCGUUCUGCCAGUUAAUGCGAUGGCCAAUUGUCCUAUCUGAGUUUCCAAAUUUUUGAUGGCUGCAUUUUGAUUUUGAAGUGUGGCUAUCACAUCCUCCAGUUGAGGCCUCUUCUCUUGUUGUUGAAAUUGUCCAUGUGGCUUGUUUUGAUUCUGGCCGCUCCAAGAGAAGUUGGGAUGCUUCUUCCAAUCGGGAUUGAAAGUCUCCCCAUAUUGAUUUUGUUGCUGGCGUUGUCCCCACUGUGCAUAGUCUGCUUGCUCAAUUCCUUGCAUUAGUAUAGGGCAUUCUGAUGUCUUAUGUUCAGCUCCACAUUCUUCACAAUUGUUUUUCUUAACUUGCGCUGUUUGUGAUAUGCUUUCCACCUUAUGGUAUAGAGAAUCUAUUUUUGCCAAUAUUGCUGAAUAAGGAUCCAUGUCAAACACAUUUGGCACAUUCUUUUGAACAGGUCGUUCUGACGCCCACAUGGUUGAAGUAGUAGACAUUCUCUCAAACAAUUCCAGUGCUCCAUUGAUCGUCCUUGUGGAUAUGGAGCCAUUAGAUGAUAAAUCCACCAUACUUUUGCAAUAUGGAAGUAAUCCUAUAUAGAAAUAUUGGACCUGAAGUCUCUUGUUGAUCCCAUGAUGAGGACACUUCCUAAGCAUGUUCUUGAACCUAUUCCAGGUUUCAUCAAAUGAUUCAAAUUCACCCUGACUAAAUGUCGAAAUGUCACGCCUCAAUUUCGCUACCUUAACUGGUGAGAAGAACUUCGUGCAGAAUUUGUGAGCUAACUCAUUCCAAGUAGUUAUGCUUGCAACGGGAAGUAAAUCCAACCAUUCGAGUGCUUUAUCUCGCAGAGUAUGUGGAAACAACCUCAGCUUGAUAGCAUCCUCUGAAAUUCCUUGAUAACUGAAGUGUUGACACAUAUCCAGGAAGCGAGAAAUGUGAGUAUAUGGAUUUUCUUCAACUCUACCGUAAAACUGAUGUCCAUUUUUAAAUAAAUGUAUAACGUUGGUCUUCAGUUGGAAAUUAGGUUGUCCAAACGGUGGGUACACAAUGCUUGACUGACUUUGAAUGAUUUGUGGGGCCAUGAAAUCCCCAAGAAGCAUAUUUCCCUGAACUACAACUUCCUCUUCGUUAGCUCGAAUUAUUAGGAUGUUUUGCUCAUUAGCCAUUUGCACUUGCUGUUUUUGAUCUUUAUAUAUCCUGAAAAAGAACAAAGAAAAAAAACUAAAAUAGAACGAAAAUAACAAUACAAAAAUUACAAGUAAAAAUUCGAAUUAGUGCCAAAAUAAAUAAAAUUCGACUGCCGGAAUUGGAAUUUUCAAUUGGAUAAUAGAAUUGGCGGCUGCAGAUUACAUAUUCAUAUUAUUUACACACGGCAAAGACGCGAAAAGAGAGACGGACAACAAGCUGUUGAAGGAAUAAUUUCAGAUUGCCUUUGGAAGGAAUUUGGAUGUUGAUCGCGUUCCGUCAAUUUUUGGUGAUUUCGUUCCACUAGUAUUUAUUUAAUUCCAUCAUUAUGCUCAGGUAGACUUGUUCGUGCUAGGAAAACGAUGAACUUUGUUAUAUGAAUUUUUAAUCUCUAGUUUACGUUUUUGACAUUAAAACAUGCGUUUGGAAUUUGAAUGAUUUAUAUGCACUUAUUUUCUCCGCAAUUAUCGUGCACGUAAUUUGUGUGAGUUUGGUGACUUGUUCUUGCAUUCGAGAGAAGUGGAAUAGGUUCGACAGGGUGUAAAUCAUUGUAGGGUCCGAUAGGGGAUAGAGAUAUACCGCUAUGCCUUGCGUGAGUCUUUAAGUGUUCACAAAAUCACAUGCAUUUUUAUAUAUGCACUUGUCAUAAAAAUAUAGACCGGUGGUAUGUAAAAAUAGGUUCGAUACAUCUCGAGAGAGAGUGUUGGAUAGAUUUAGGAACAUUGAUUCUUCAAAAUCUAACCGUGUCGUCAAAUUGUAAAACUAAGGUUAAAAAUGAUUAUUUCAUAAGGAUUUGCUACCCUAGUACAUUCGUCAUUCAUUUAUUACGUUAAACUUGCAUUCAAAACGUCACAAUGUAUUUUAGUUUAUUUAAUUCUCAUACAUUUGCAUCCGUAAUUUAGAGUAGGUUUAAUUACAUUGCAAAAAUCACAUUUGACAUUCUUGUUUCGGUUAAGGUCGGGAUAAGUAAAAUUGAACUAACCAAUCUCUGUGGGACGAUACUCGGACUCAAUUGAUCCACUUUAUUACUUGUUAACGAACCGUACACUUGCGGUAAUUUAAAUCGAAAGAAAUAUUUUGCGAACAAUACACGUAGCAAUUGAUUCUUUUUAGUUGGAAGAGCCUAAUGUUUUCGAUUUGAGAGCCACACGACAUGUUGAAUAUUAUCACUCGUUUUGAUGAAGCAUGAAGUAAAUAAUUUGGGCCAAUCACAUUACAUUUCACAUAAGCAUUUGAUUUUGUUGCUUUUUUCCUUCUUUUUUUUUUUUUUUGAAGUAACUCAUAGUCAUCCUAGUCAGCAUCUAUUAUCGGCGCACGUCACGUUUCGAGUUCACUAGGGUAAUUCAGGAUGGGUCUUGUCAUAAUACUACAUUUAGCACAAUGUAAAAUUUACUGAACUCGAAUAAAUUUUAAAAAGCUUUCCCCAAAUCAAUAAUCCUCUUUACAAAUGCAAAUAACAACAAAACUGUAAACACUACUAAUUGGACCAGAAGACUCCAAACAUACCCAAAGCAAACUCUUGUAAGCCUCAUUACAUAUAAAAAUCAAUGAUCGAGCUUCUCAAGUAGAUACGGGUAAAGAAAGAAAGAGCUUGCUAAGUUUUACACACACACACACACAUAUAUAUAUAUAUAUUACAUUAAAUAAAGCCGAAGAAAAUAAGAAAUAAAUCCACAAGAAAGCGAACAUCCAACAAAAACAUAAACUUCAUAACCAUAUCCAAGAAAAAAAGAAAACUUCAAUUAGAUUUUCAUGUAUAUACAUAUACGGAGAUAAGAACAUAUCUCAUAUCUAGGUAGAAGAAGAUAAGCCAAGAUAGAUUUUCAUCUGUACACAGAAAUAAAAAUUACAUACCUUAAAUAAAUCUUGAAAAACUAAAAAACGGAAACACAAAAAAAAAAAAAAUUGCAAGAACAUACCUAAAGAUAAUCCUCACAAAUUCGACAGUUUUCUUCCCUACGAUUGAGAUGAUUGAAAUGAAGACUGCGUGAUUUUUUUUCUCCCACAGAAAAACAAUAAUUUGGAGAGGUCUUUUGCAGAUGAAAGCUGGAAAUUAGGACAGAAAUUGGUUCAAUUGAAGGAGAGAGAAUGAGUGACUUGAAAUAAUGAUAGAUGGUAGAUUACUUUAUAUUUUAUUUAUAAUAUAAUAAAAAAAUCAAACCACUUUAACCAAACUCAUUUCAAACCAGUUGAAUGUAAAAAUGUACGUGACAAAAAUGAACGUCCACCAAUAGAAAAUAAUUGAAGAAAUUUUAAAUAGAAAAAAUUAAUAUCGAAAAAUUUUUAAAUAGAAAAAAAAUUUCUUCUUUCACGGAGAGAAAAAAUAAUUGAAAAAAUUAAGUUCAAUCACAAAUAAAGAGAAAAGAAUUCAUAAAAAUUUUAAAUAGAAAAAAAUUAUCUAUAAUAUCAGCAAAACAGAUUACAAAAUAAAUUAAAAAUAAAUAAAUAAGAAAAAUAUUCCACCCAUUGGAAAGGAUCUCUCCAUGAGAUGAAGAGUUUCACUCUUGUCAAAGGGGAGUUCUCUCCUUUUGACUUUUCAAAAGAAACUCUCCUUUUGAAAAGUCAAAAGGAAAGACUCUCUCGUACACGUAGAGAAAAUAUUUUUUUUUCUAAUUUUAAGAAAGGAUAAUUUUGUUCAUAUUAUAUUUCGAUAUAAAAUUCUUCUUAAUUCUAUUAUGGUAAAAUUUAAUUUUUCCAAUUUUAAUUAAUUAAAUAAUAUUUAUUUAUUAUUUAUUUAAUUUUGUAACUUUAUUUAAUUUUAUUUGUUUAAUUUGAUUUAAUAAAAUAAUCUUUAUAUAUUUUUUAUGAUAGAACGACAUUCGUUAAAUUUGAAUUAAAUAAUAUUUAUUUUUAAUUUUAAAUCAUUUUAAUUUAAUUUAAAUACUUUAUAAUAAAUUUUUCCUAUUUUUUCCUGCAAUUCCUUUUUUUUUAAUAAUCUUUAUAUUUAGUGUCAUUUCUCUAUAUUUAUUAUAUAAUAUAGCAUUGACUUUCAUCAAGUGAAGUAGUGUGUGAAAAUGAAAAAAUAUUGCAGUGGAGGUGACAUUGUGGUGGAACGACGUGUGAAAAUGGUGAAAUGGCAUGUGAAAAAUUGCUACAAUGCGAUUGAAUAAAAUAAUUUAUUGUUGCCAAACGAGAUUCAUGUGAAAACCUAUGUGACAAAAAUGAAUAAACCACACAUUCUCUCUUUUAAGAAAAGAAGGGAUAAAUUUUUGAAACUAAUGUGUAUGGAAGAAUUUUGAAGCAAUAUGCUUUCUCAUAUUACCUUUUAGAUAACCUCUUGAGUUUGUGAAAUACAGGCUGUAUUAUCUUCAUACAAAAUUUUAAAGCUAUCUUUUGUUGAAAUUAACACGCAUGAUACUUGGAUAUGAUGGGUUAUGUUUCUCAACCAUACACAUUCUUGCCCUGGUUCAUGAAUUGCAAUAAUUUCAUAAUGAUUUGAGGAUGUUGAUGUCAAGGAUUGUUUCAAGAUCCCCAUGAUAUAGUUGUUCCUCCACUUGUAAGCACAUAUCCUAUUUAUGAUUUACCUUUAUGUGGAUUAGAAAGAUAAUCUGCAUUUGUAUAUCAUGCUAAAGCAAAACCUGGUUUUUGAAAAUAAAAUAAUCUCAAAUCAUAUAGUGCCCUUUAGGUAACGAAAAUAUGUUUAACAUCAUUUCAAUAUCUUCGAGUUGGUGUAGAGCUAUAUCUUGUAAGGAGAUUUAUAGAAAAAGUUAUGUUGGGUCAGGUGCAAUUUAUAAGAUAAGUUAAUGCUCCAAUUGCACUAAGAUAUGGUACCCCAGGAUCUUUUUUCACAUCAAGUAAUCGAAUAAACAUAGAUGAUGUCAAAUGAUAUGUAUUAUCCAUAUAAAAGCGCUUUAAUACUUCUUCUGUAUAUGUAGAUUGAUGAACAAAUAAUCUUUCUGGGAAAUGUUCAAUUUGCAACCAGAGACACAAUUUGGUUUUUCCCAAAUCUUUCAUCUCGAAUUCAUUUUUCAAAUAAUUAGCAUUUUUGUUAAGCUUUUCAGGAGUUCUAAUUAAAUUUAAAUUAUCAAAAUAAACUGUCACAAUUGUAAAAAUCCAAUAUUUGAUUUCUUUAUGAAAACACAUGGGUAGAUAUCAUCAUCUUUAUAACCCUCUUUCAAUAAAUAUUCGCUAAGACGAUUAUAACACAUGCAUUAGGAUUGUUUCAAUCCAUAUAAUGAUCUUUGCAAUUUAAUUUAGAACAUAGUUCUCGGGCAUGUAUUAUUCAUUCCUGGCACUUUAAAUCCUUGGUGACUUUCAUGUACACACACGCACAAAAAAGGUGCAUAUCAAGUCUUUGUGACACAGUUAAAUUAAUUAAGAAUCUAAAAGUGAUGGUGUCCAUUACGGAAGAUGAUAAUUAUGUUUUUGCACACUUAUUUAGAUCACAAACAUGACUUAAUUACGAGCAAAAUAUUUAAAUUGUGACUUAAUCUCGUUGAAUUCAUGCAAUGUAGGUGUUUCUAUGGAAAUAGUGGAGUUCAUGAGAAAAGAGCCGAAAAAGGACUAAAAUGGAGCAAAGUGAUAGUUCAGGGACUAAGGAUACAAAUAUUCAAAAGUUGAACUAAAAGGCAACCCGGGAAUACAAAUAUACUAAGUAUGAACUCGAAAGCGAUACAAGAUGAUUGGAAGAAGAAGUAAUUGCAAAGGGACUAAAAUGAGGAAGAAUGAAAGUUCAAGAACCAAAAUAGACAUUUUGCAUAGUUGGUAGCACUAUGCGACCCCUCUAUGCGGUCGAAUAGAGGCCUCCCAAGAAUUCUUUCUCAAAUUUUUUUCCCCUAUGAGACCGCAUAGAAAUUUACUAUGCGGUCGCGUAGAACAAGUUCGGUGGACGAUUCUGCGGUUUCCUCAUACGAUUGAAACUCUUUUGGUAACCUAAUUUUCACACGAUAUAAAUACCAAAAGACGUCCAGAAACAGGCAGAACGUAUUGAAGAUAGAAAAAUACUUCUUGGAGAGGAUUUUGAGGUCAAGAACGAAGAUUUACACGAAGAGCUUCAAGAUUUCAUAACACAGUGAUGCCUUUUAUCCAAAAUCUGAUGUAUUCUUUUAUUUUAAUCAUGUUAGGCUAAAUUUUCAUGUGCUAGGAGAUCGAUGUACCAUGUAAUUUGAUGUUUAAUUUUCUAGUUUUGCAAUUUGACAUUAAGACAUAUUUCUAUUGUUUUGAAUGAUUUAUAUGCAAUAUUAUUUUCGCAAUUAAGGGUCCGUAAUUGUGUGAGUUUGGGUGAUUUAUUCUUGCAUUCGAGAGAAUUAGAAUAGGUUCGACAUAAUAUAAAUUAUUGUAGGGUCCGAUAGAGGAUAGAAAUAUAUCGCUAUGCCCUACGUGAAUCUUUAAGUGUUCAUAAAACCGCAUACAUUUUUACAUAUGCAUUUCUUAUAGAAAUAUAGGCUGGUGGUAUGUAGAAAUAGGUUCGAUACAUCUCGAGAGAGAGUAUUGGAUAGACUUAGGAACAUUGAUUCAUCACAAUUGAAGUGUGUUGUCACAUUAUGAAACUAGGAUUUUAAAGUGAUAAUUGCAUGAGAAAUCGUGAUCCUAGUGUGUUUAAUUCCUAUUGAUUAUAAUAAAUGUGCGUUCUCAACAUUUGAUUUCAUUCUAAAGUCUUAAAAAUAUUGUUUUGCAUAUUUAAUUUAAUUCAAUCAUAAAAAUUGCAUAAUUAGGGUUUUCUUUCCAAGCCAUGAGACUAAGGGUACCUUAACUGUCAAUGGGCAAAUGCUGAAAUACUACUGAAGCGGUGACUUCUCCAACCAAAAGUCUACCGCUCAACUUGGGACGCCAAAAUAAAGCAGCUGUAGAAAAGUCGAGCUAUCGACCAUAACAUAGCACUGGGUGGGAGGCAACCCACUGUGUCUUUUUCAUUACUUUUAAUUUUUGCAUUAGCUUAGAAAUUUUUAAUUUUCACGUUUGAUUUUUUUUUUUUUUAGGUAUUGAUCAUCCAUGCACGUUAAUAGAGUCUAAGCACCGUUCACACGAAUUCCUAGGCAUAGAGCACAUGUUUAGUAAGCCUGAAGUGGUUUUGGGUGAUUGAGGGUAUAAUUCACGCAUUUCAAGACGAAAGAUCAUUUUCAAAAAUUUAAAGGGCCAAUGUGUGAUUGAGAGUUCAAAGUGGUAUUGGCACUAAGUUAAAACCCACACACGUACCAAGAUGUGUAAAAAUCUGACUUUGAAAAGUUUGGGGUGCUGAAAGGUCAGGUCAAAGUAUUAAUUGAAAAUCAAAGUUGGCGAGGUCGUGUUCUUGGGGGAAAAUCAAUUUUUUUUUUACUUUAUUUUGUUUUGUUCUAUUUUAUUUAUUAAUGGCAACAUAUAUAUAUAUAGACACACACACACACACACACAUUUAGUCUAUGUGGCCGCAUAGACUAAACAUCUAUGCAGCCGCAUAGAUUUGGUUAGGGCCAAUUUUGGCCCUGACUGUUAUCUCUAUGCGACCGUAUAGAGAUACUCUAUGCAGUCGCAUAGAGUAAUGACAAAAUAAUAAUAAUAAUAAAAUUAAAACAUCAGUUUUUAAGAAGAACACACCCUAAUUCUCUCAUUCUCACCCAACACUUUCACUCACGGCCCCAAAUUCCUUCUCAACUCACGUACCCAACACACAAAUCCAACAACUCGACACCAUCAAGUGUAUAAAUCAUCACAUUAUCUAGCAUUGGAGUGAGUAAAGAUUUUCAACCUUCCAAUUCUACACAAGAUUUCAAGGUAAGUGCCCUAUGUCAUACCAUACAAAUUUUGAAUUUUGGGAUUUGGUUUGUCUUAAUUUUCAGUAAUUGGUGAAGAUUAGGUGCUAUGUUUGUGAUUGAUUUGUGGAAAAGAAGGUAGAUUCUAAAGUACCAAAUGCAAAAGUUAAGAAAAUUUCAUAAUGUACAAAAUAUGUUCGAUUAAAUGCCUGUGUGACAAGCUUUAUGCAAUUUUGAGAACUAUGCUUUUGUCAUGCAUUGAAAUAGAUGUGAAUAGCAAUUGGGUAAUGAGAUAUCACAUGAAAAGCCAUGUAAAAUAUAAAAAUCCAUUUUGUAACGUAUAGGCACAUGGCUAGGUCAUGGCACCUCAUGUCACCCAAUUUGGCACAUAAUUUGACAUCCCAAAUGAAAUUCGAUUGAUUUGAAAUUUGAGUAUGUGCUAGAUCUCAUUGAAUACUUCACUAUGCUUGAAGAUUGUUUGAAAAAAUUUCGAUAUUUCUCGAUGAUGCUCGGGGUUGAAAGUGCGCACUCGAUCAUGGAUCAAAUUUUCAUAAUGUGCAUGUUUGGGCCAAAUUUUGCUAGUGUUUCCUAUUGGCGCAAUAUUUCGACUAUCUUGAAUAUCAUGUUUUGAAGAUUGCACACCAAUGUGUUAUACAUGCAUAUUGAAGCAAGUUUGGGGGAUUUGUGAAAUACAUGCCUUACUAAUCUCAUUCCAUUUAUCGCUUUUCAACAAAAAGUUUAAUGAAUGCUAUUUUUUGCACCCUUGUAGGAUGCCUCUAAAAUGAACAUCAAAAGGAAAAGAGAAGGUUGGUUCCGCAUUUGGCAUAGCCUGGACUGGAGAGCCCAAAGGGGGUGUCAGGAGAUUUCUAUCCUCAGACACAGUAGCCCGUUACGCCAAUGUUGUCCGCGAGUGGGCACUCAUCCCCAAAAGGCCAGUUAAGUUGGAAGAUUUCCCCGAUUUUGGAUUAGUUUACUUAAUCCACAACUGUGAUUGGGAGAAAGUAAUUGAAAGACCGCAUCCAGUGUAUGAAAAUCUGGUAAAGGAGUUCUAUACCAACUUCAAUACAGAAAUCGACACUCUUGGAUCUAUCAUCUACAUCAAACAUGGGUUCGGGGUAAAUAGAUUAUGUUCUCACCAGAAGUGAUUCAUGACUAUUAUCAGCUAACCUAGAAUAAUGUGGUCCCGAUCCCACAUAAUUUCAAUUGGAUUGAGGUUGCAAACGUAUUAUUGGGACAUGAGAAUGCUUGGCCUCUACCGACUGCAGAUUGGUAUUAGAUUGAUCUCACCCCAUCUAUAGCUAUCCUAUGGUUAUUCAUAUGCCACAACAUCGAAUCCAUAUCCCAUAGGACAACAUUCACAAAUCAAAAGACGGGAUUUAUCUAUCAUUUAGCUCGGGGAAACAAGAUUGAUUUGACCACAUGCAUCUACAACCAGAUACAGAUUAUAGCACAUGGGGAGACAGGCACACUUUGCUAAUUUUUCCAAGCUUGAUAAGUGCGAUAUGUAGAGCUGCAGGCAUACAAGUCCAGCUUGGAGAAGCACCAAAAAACUAAGUCGCUAUAUCAAGCGCCUCACACUAGAGGCCCAGGACUGAGCCAAAGUUAAACAUCAACAGAAGUUAGAAAACAAGCGACACCGACGGCAAUAGGCUGAGGAAGAACAAGCAACUGAGAACUUCGAGAUACCACAAGUUCCAAGGUAGAUGUUUGCCACUAUGAUAGGAUACAGUCGAGACAUGCAGAGUCUUCAGCAAUCAUUUGGAGCAAUGAGUACCACCAUCCAACAGUGCAGAAUGAUAUGGCAAUCACAAGAAACUUUGCAUCCAAUGCCAGCAGUGAGUCCCUUGCAGCUAGAAGAGAGAUGAGUACCUUUGAUGGGAGAUUGGGAAUGUAUGUUGGCAGGAUGGAUGGUAUACAAUGGCAAGUGAAUGAGACAUGGGACCGUUUAGGAAGUUUGGAGACUAGGGUUCAGGCCAUGCAGGUGAAACAGACCCAGCAGCCUGGCCUAUUGAGAGAGAUUUUAUCCCGCCUUCCUCCCCCUCUUGGAGAUGAUGUUGCAGGAUGCAGCCUCCUAUCACAACCACCUAUUGAUCAGGGGAGUCUUGUUUACCUCAUUUUGCUAUUUUGUGUUCAUGUUUUUGUUAAAUUACGCCAUUUAAACAUUAAUUUUUACAUUGAGGACAAUGCACUGUAUAAGUUUGGAGGAUGGUGGUAUAAUUUAAAACAAAUAGGUGUAAUUAUUUUCAUUUUCACAAUCCAUUGUUAUUAUUGACUAAUUGUUGCAUGAUGCAUACUUGAUGAGUGAAUGUUGAUUAUACUUUUGCAUGCUUGUGUGGACUUGACAACCUUGCCGGCUAUGAUGUGAUUAUUGGAUUGGUAUAAUUCAUAAACUUUGGAUAUAGUGCUGAAUAGAUUAACCAAUACUUGUGAUGCAAUACUUGACAUUAUCUAUGCAUGCUAUUCAUGCUUGAUAUGUUAGGUGAAUGACUGAAUUUUGAGCAUAAAGUAGGAAAAGAAUGAUAACCCUCUAUUGAAUUAACACAUAAAUCACCUUAAGACAGUUUGGAAUUGGUUGAACUAUUAUAGGGAGCAUUGAGAUAAGCGGGGGCUCCAUGCAUGAAAUUUUAUUGUGUGGAUUGCCUAGACCAGUGAGGUGAAGAUUAGGUGAAAAUCUUAAAUUGGGGGUUGGUUUUGGGAAGUAAAUGUCUAGAACAAUAAGGGCAUAAAAUUAAAUUGUGAGAAUAAGACACUUCUUUUGAUGCCUUUAUGACUCGAUCAAGUAACUUGCAAGGAUAUUUUAAAAUCUGGUGCCCUAAGGUCAGCUGACCUGGGAGUCACCAGCCUAAAGCUCGCUAAAGGGGCCAUAUAGAAAGUAAGAGGGAAAGAGGUUAAUAAAUAGUCAUCUGAUCGAGCCUUUAUAAUUCGAGUGAAUAAGCCUGCAAGGGUUUAAAACCUGGUGCCCUAAAGCCAACUGGUUUGGAAGUCACCGACUUAAAGCUCACUACAUGGGUUAUAUAGAAAGCAAAUGAGAAAAUGAUGAUAAAAAAAUGUAAAGUGAGAAAAAAAAAAGAGACAAUAACAUGAAAAAAAAACCCUUAGAAAUUUGGUUGAGGAAACUAUUCCUUUGAGGCGAGGCAAGUAACAUAUUUUAAUCUUGAGUGUUGAAACAAUCAAACUUGGGAGAGCCUUCACUUGUUGAAAUGUAAACUUGUGAUAGUGAGAUUAAUCCAAACUACGAAAGGGUGAGGACUACAGCUAUGUAAACUCCUAAUUUUAAAACACAACCCCAGGAUCAUUGAGUGAAAAGAAUAAGUUUGAGGGGUUGUGUAUCUCUUGAGCAAGUAAGGAUACAUUUGACAACUUGGGGUCGGGACUCAACCUAUCAUGAAUUUGAUAUGUUGACAUGAAUUCACACGCACACGUCAAAUAUGCAUUCAACAGGUAAAAGUUGAUGUCAUUUUUGCAAUGAUAAAUUUUCAUAAAGUCAAGUACUUAGUCCAAUCCUAAACACGACAGGGUAUUAAGCCAUGUUUAUUCAGAAUUAAGUCACUAUCUUGUUUGAGGACAAAAAAUAGUUCAAGUUUGGGAGGUUUGAUAAGUUAGUUUUUGUACACUUAUUUAGAUCACGAACAUGACUUAAUUAAGAGCAAAAUGUUUAAAUUGUGACUUAAUCUCGUUGAAUUCAUGCAAUGUAGGUAUUUCUAUGGAAAUGGUGGAAUUCAGGAGAAAAGAGCCGAAAAAUGACUAAAAUGGAGCAAAGUGAUAGUUCAAGGACUAAGGAUGCAAAUAAUUAAAAGUUGAACUAAAAGGCAACCCGGGAAUGCAAAUAUGCUAAGUAUGAACUCGAAAGCGAUACAAGAUGAUUGGAAGAAGAAGGAAUUGCAAAGGGGCUAAAAUGAAGAAGAAUGAAAGUUCAAGGACCAAAAUAGACAUUUUGCAUAGUUGGUAGCACUCUAUGUGGUCGCAUAAAGGCCUCCCGAGAAUUUUUUCUCAAAUUUUUUUACUCUAUGCGAGCACAUAGAAAUGUACUAUGCGGUCGCGUAGAACAAGUUCGGGGGCCGAUUUUCUUAUACGACUGAAACUCUUUUGGUAAUCUAAUUUUCAUGCGAUAUAAAUACCAAAAGACAUCCAGAAAGAGGCAGAACGUAUUGGAGACAGAAAAACACUUCUUGGAGAGGAUUUUGAGCGCAAGAUCGAAGAUUGACACGAAGAGCUUCAAGAUUUUUCAAGAUUUCAUAACCCGGUGAUGCCUUUUAUCCAAAAUCUAAUGUAUUCUUUUAUUUUAAUCAUGUUAGGCUAAAUUUUCAUGUGCUAGGAGAUCGAUGUACCAUGUAAUUUGAUCUUUUGUUUUCUAAUUUUGCAAUUUGACAUUAAGACAUAUUUAUAUUGUUUUGAAUGAUUUGUAUGCAAUUAUUGUUUCCGCAAUUAAAGGCCCGUAAUUGUGCGAGUUUAGGUGAUUUAUUCUUGCAUUUGACAUAAUAUAAAUCAUCGUACAGUCCGAUAGGGGAUAGAAAUAUACCUCUAUACCCUAUGUGAAUCUUUAAGUGUUCAUAAAACAUCGUGCAUUUUUACAUAUACAUUUGUCAUAGAAAUAUAGGCCAGUGGUACGUAGAAAUAGGUUCGAUACAUCUCGAGAGAGUGUGUUGGAUAGACUUAGGAACAUUGAUUCGUCACAAUUGAAGUGUGUUGUCACAUUGUGAAACUAGGGUUUUAAAUUGAUAAUUGCAUGGGAAAUCGUAAUCCUAGUGUGUUUAAUUCCUAUUGAUUACAACAAAUGUGCGUUCUCAACAUUUGAUUUCAUUCGAAAGUGUUAACAAUAUUGUUUCGCAUAUUUAAUUUAAUUCAAUCAUAAAAAUUGCAUAAUUAGGGUUUUCUUUCCAAAAUUGGGGUUUUCAUUAGGUUCACAUUCACAUUAGUAAUUUAGUUUCGGUUAAAGCGACGAUAGGUAAAAUUGAACUAAUCAAUCUCUGUGGGACUAUAUUCGAACUCAUUUAAUCCACUUUAUUACUUGUUAACAAACCGUACACUUGUGGUAAUUUUAAAUCGAAGGAAAUAAUUUCGUGAACAAGAGAAUAUGUUUCCUCAUGAUCAAUUCUUAGUCUUCGUGAGAAACUUUUAGCUACGAGAUAGGCUUUGUAUCUUGUUAUUUUCAUGUAUUUGAACUAUAGGUCCAUACACUUUUGUUUCGCUAAGGAAUUUAAUUCUGCAUGCAUGGCUUCUUUCCAUUUUAGACAAACAUUUCUAUUUAGAUAGUCUUUAACUGAUUGUGAUUCAGAAUCCCCAUUUUAUAUAACAUCAAGAGACACAUUAAAGGCGAAAAAUAUCGUUUAUAACAAUAUGAUUAUGUUCCCAUAAUUUAUGAGAUACUUCAGGAACCAUAUUUUCAAUAUUUGACUAAUAAAUAUUUUCUAAUGUCACUUCUUCCAUAGUUUUUGAUUGGUUUUUCUCUUGUAUUCCUUUUUCGAGGUACGGAGUCUUUUGAACCAAUUGCUUGACCACGCUUUUGACGUAUUUGAGAUUCAAUUGUUAUAGUAGACUGUCGUACAGGGAUAUCGAUUUUUGAUGAAAUAUUUUCUAUUGUAAUAUAUGACUUCAUCACUUUUAUAGUGUCAACAAAUACAUCAGGUAAUUGAUUUACAACCUUUUGCAAAUAAAAUAAUUUUUUCAACAUCUUGCUCACAUUUAUUGUUGCGGGGAUCAAAAUGAGAUAGAGUUGUUACAUUCCAAGAUGCAUAGCAAAUAAAUCACCCUUCAAAAAUUCAAGAUACCUAAUAAUAAAUAGUGAAUCAAAAGAAAUCUCAAGUCUUCGUUGGGGAUCCACUUUAGUACAUUGUGGGGGUGAAACGGGGACUUAGACAACACAAGUAAAAAUUCGUAGGUAAGAAAUAUCAGGUUUAUGACCAAAUGCCAGUUGCAAAUGUGAAUAUUGAUAAUUGGCAAUUGGUCUAAUAUGAACCAAUAAUGCAACAUAUGAUAUGACAUAACCCCAAAUAGAAGUUGGGAGUUUUGUUUUCUUAAGUUUUUGUCUAGCAGUAAAUUGUAGACGUUCAAUAAACGUUUUUGUUAAACCAUUUUGUGUAUGAACAUGUGCAAUCGAUUGUUCAAUUAUAAUUCCAAAUGACAUGCAAUAAUCAUCGAAUGCAUGUGAUCUAAAUUCAUCAGCAUUGUCAAGACAAAUAGUAUUGAUUGAAUAAUCGAGGAAUUGUAUGUGUAAUUUUAUGAUUUGAACAAGUAGUCUAGCGAAGGUUGCAUUCCUAGUGAAAAGUAGGCAAACAUGUGACCAUCUAGUCAAAGAAUCAAUUAAUACCAUAAAUAAAAAAUUGUCUACAUGAUGGGUGUAUUGGCCCACAUAUAUUUUCAUGAAUUCUUUUGGAACUUCAAUAUUGACCUUUGUAGUUGAAUGUCUAAUGACUAGCCUUACGAACAAGCUACACAUGGAUAAUCAUUAAGUAAAAGAAUAUUCUGGUUAUUUAAAAAAUAUUCAUGUCAAAUUAUAACACUUUUUGGGUCAACUAACUUCUAGUUUGUGACAUUAUUUGAUUCAACUAUUUUUAUAAAUGUAUAAUACAUGAAUACAUGCUACAUGGAAAUUCAAGAAGUUUUUCUUUUAUUUGUUUCUCACCAGAUACAAAAAAGUUAUGCAAAGAUAUUCAACAUUAUUUUCUUGUGUCAUCUCAAUAUGAUGUCCAUUGCAGCGGAUAUCUUUAAAACGAAGCAAAUUUCUUCUGAUUUUGCUAAAAUAAAGUGUAUUAUCAAUAUAUAAUUUUGUAUUAUUUGAUAAAAUAAUACAAGUUCUUCCAAAGCCUUUGACGAUAUUCAAUUAACCUGAUAUUGUAUUAACAUUAUUUUCUAAUAAGUUAAGUCCAAAAAAUAUUUUUUGUCUUGAAAAAUGGUAUGUGUAGUUGCACUAUCAACCAAGUAAGUAUAUUGAUAAUCCAUCAUGAAUCUAUCAAUAUAAUAAAAUAGAUAUAUUUAAAAAACUUGAAUUUAAAUUUAAAAGGGUAAACAUAAUUUAAUACUGUCAAAUUUACAUAAUAAAAUUUCAAUUUUUUUUUUUUUGCAAAAAGUAAAAUAUAUUUCAAACUAAAUUUCUAAAAUAAAAGGAAAUAAUAUAGACAUAGAAAAUAAGCUAAUCCAUAUCUUUCAUCACACCACCCCCAAUCAAAUGGUCAAUAUUCCCAUUUGGAUCAAUAAAGAAAUCAGAGACAUCCAAGCAAUCACAUCAGUUGGGCCAUCAUAAUCAAGAAAAUUCAUCUCCACUUUUUUCUUUCCCAUGAUUGAUUUUUGGUAAAAAUCUACAAGAUGUUUUACCGUAUGACAGGUAUGUGUCCAAUACCCUUUCAUUUUACAUCUAAAGCAACUUUCUUCUUAUUCCUUUUUGGGUAUGCUAUUUUUAUCUACUUUGUACCUUUUGAAAUUGUUACCAUAUUGCUGAUAGCUUUGUUGAUUAUUUUGUCAAUGAUUUAUUCCACGUGCACAUCCGCAUCCAUAUCUAAAUCUGUGUCCACAUCCAUGUCCUUGUCUUGAUAUUGCAUUUAUUUUAGGCAAAUCAGUACCAUUUGCUUCAUGCAAUGGUACAAAACCAAAUGGACAUAACCUAUAAUUUUUUAUCAACAGUUCAUUAUUUAGUUCAGCCACAAGUAGGUAAGAUUUAAGUUCUAAGUACCUUUCGAAACCACGUUCACGAUAUUGCUACUGCAGGAGGACAUUCGAGACGUGAAAAGUGGAAAAACUUUUCUUCAACAUAUCUUCAUUAGUGUUUUUUUUCUCCAUACAAUACCAAUUUUGAAUAUAUUAUGAACAAUUCAAAAUUGUGCUUACUAAUAGUUUUUGAAAUCUUGUAAACGAAGGUGCAUUUUUCGGAAGGAAAAGGAGGAUCCGAACAAAAUUGAUGAAACGGAAGAAAUCCGAGUGUGCAUUCACUCAUAGCGGAUUUUGGGAAGGACUAUAGUCCUUUGAUGAUCAAAUCUUCAGUUAGUUUUUCCAAAGAAUCUGUGAAUUUUUCUUAGUGAGAUAUUCAAUUUUCAAUCUAUUGUGAAGAUGAUGAUGAAGGAAGAUAAAUGCUAUUGCACGAUCCUGUAGGGAUUCUUUAUUUAUUUCUUUUACUAUUUCUCUCAAACCUUUUGAGACAAGAUGGAUAUCAACAUCGAGUACCCAUGAUAGAUAAUUUUUUCCAGAUAUGACAUGUGCAGUAAACUCAAGUUUUGUGAUGUUUGAAACAAAAUUAGUUUCGAAGACUAUGAUUAAAGAUUAUAUCACAUAAUAAUUAGCCAAGUAAUCAAUACCAACAUAACAUGAGUCAUAUGUUUUCCUUCAAGGAUAAACACUAAUUCAAAAGAAUAAUAUACUCUUCAAAACAUGUGCUAUUUCAGGAGUACGUUGCAUUUUACUAUUACUUCUUCAAUAGCAGUAUGUCAAUAUUCUCGAGACAUAUUGAAAAAUAUAAUUCACCCUUUUCGAGAGAAAGUAAUAAUUUUCAAGAAUAUUAAUUAUAAUUAUGUGCUAUUUCAAGAUCAACGAUACAUUAUUUAUAAUAGACGGAUCUAUGAUUGAUAGUCUUCUGAAAUAUUAAUUAUAAAAUUGUGUUACUUUAGGAGCAACAGCAUGAUAAAUUAUUAAUUUAAAAUUUAUAUAAAAACAUCUAAAAAUAUUUAAUCAUGUUAAAGACAUGGAACAUUUAAUGAUAAUCACAAAUGUUUGUCUUACCAAAUAAACUAAACCACAGAGUAUGUAAAUUAAAGCAUGAAUUAAAGAAUAAUAUUUGUACAGACAAACGUGAGAAUCAUGAAUUAAAGUAUGAAUAUAUGUAAAGAACAACAACCUCAUACAAAAAUUCAUUGUUCAACCAUUUGAAUAUUUGCAGUAAAAAAAGUGAACAUACAUAAUGCUUUUCAUAAAAAAAAAAAAUGUAAUAGUGGAAGAAAUCAUUAUUUGAUAAUGAAAAUGAGAGAAGCAGUUAGCGUGGCAAUAGUUAAAGUGGAAAGAAAUCUUUUUCACCAAAAAAUUCUACUUGUGGUAAAUUUGUUAUGAUGCCUAUGAAUGCACAAAAAAUUCACAAGUCGCCAAAUUAAUUUCGGUACAUCUAAUAAAUGAUUAUGCUUGAAAAUAAUUUCUACAUUCUCUAAAUUUUGAAGAAUUAAGCUUUUGUACUGAUAACUUGUUAAAAAUAAAAAAAUUUAAAAAAAAAAAAGAGAAGAGAGAAUGAAAGCCAAUAAAUUUUUUGUGUAUUUUAUUAUGAACAAAAUUCCUAUAUUUAUAUUUAAGAAUCAGGGAUAUAAUGGUAAUAAUUUUUAUGGUUGUCAUUUACUAAUAAACCAUAAUAAACUUACAUUUACAAUGAAAUGUAAUAUUUUCAAUAGAAAAACUUUUCUUUGUGCGGCACAUUUUUUGUCAACAUCUUACAACUUCCUUAUUUUUAUUUUCUGUUUUUAGCUUUUUUUCAAGACUUUUGUUAUUUGUAUUAAAGCUCCACAAAAAAGUGUUAAAUUUGGCUGCCCCAUGCUAUAAUGCAUGUUCAGAAAUGAAUAUUCUAAUAGUAGGCAUGUUUGUCCUUAAGCUCUGUUAAUGAUAAUUGCAAGCAUAGAUAUAAUGAAAAUUGUUCUCUCUUAAGUUUGAAUAAAUAUCAUUUAUCAUUUGUUGGAGCUAAUGAGAUGCGUGAAUACCAUUUGACAACAAUGUAUUUGGGAACUCCUUUUAAUAAACUUGAUUUGUAUUUAAAUUCCACACAAAAGAUAAAAAGGAGAUGAGCUGAAAUUACAAAAAAGAAUGUACCUUGAGGAUGAAGAACUAAAAUUAUCAAUUAUUGAAUUGAAUUGACAAUAAGCAAGCAUGUCAAAAAAUUACUAAAGUCUACUACUUCCAAAUACAACUAGUGUACUUAAACUCAUAAAAUUGAAUUAUUAUCAUUUCUGCUUUAUUUUGAAUGAUAACUUCAAGUACAUUAUAAAAUUUUUACUUUAACGUAACAAAGUUCUUAUCUUAUAUGUUAGAAUAUAAAUUUCAAAUUAAAUUUUAAAAGUAAAGUAUGUAUACAUGUGAAUAUUAGAACUCAAAAAUCGAUGCAUAAUUUAUAUUCAUUAAAUAUAAUCCAAAAUCCCAAAAUAUGAAAAGUUAUACCUCAUUUAAUUUUUCAAAAGUAGUAACAUAUUUAGUCUCUUACUUUGGUUUGCUUAAAUUCAAGUAAAUAUAUUUGAUUAGAUCUGGUAUCAUUGAAGACAUUUACCGCUUUUCUAAUAAUCCUAUAAAAGUCGAAAGGAGAUGAUAAUAAAAAAUUAUAAAAAUAUUUGGUAAGAACUUAAAACCAAAAGCUAGUUUUCUAAAUAUACUUUACACAUAGUAUAAUAUGACAAAAUAAUUUAUAAUUUAAGUAGAGAUAUUAAGUCAAUUUUAAAAUCUUUUCAGUGUUUAAUAAUGUUAAUAUUUUUAGUAAUAUUUAUAUAUAAUAUAACUUUAAUAAGAUUAAUGAUACUUAGGGCAUGUUCGGUAGUGAUUAUGAUAAUUGAUAAUGAUAAUAUUUUUAGUAAUAUUUUGCAUAAUAUAACUUUAAUAAGAUCAAUGAUACUUAAGGCAUAUUCGGUAGUGAUUAGAGAAUUGAUUUUUUAAUCAUUGAGAGAAAAGUGAGUUCCAUCUAUGAGUGAAGAAAUAAAAAAUGACAGCGUGAACACAGAAAUAACGAUCAAAAAAUUAAUUUUAUAGGUAAAAAUUGCUACCAAACGGGGGCUUACAAUUUUUAGUAUAUAGUAUAACACUAUUUAACAUGACGACAUUAAAAUUUAAAAUAUAAACCUUUAGUAUGAUAAUAUGACUAAUGUUCUAUCUUUAUAAUUGACAAAAAAAUAAUAAUAAUAAAUAAAUAAAUAAUUGAAAUACCUACAAAAUUUUAAAAUAUCAAAACAGUUAGACAAAAACUUGUGGGAUGGGACAUAAAAUUUUAACUAUUUGAUUAUGCAAUUAAAUAAUUUACAUAAUUUAUUUUUAACUAUAAUUUUGUGUCAAGCCCAAUAUUAAAAAAAAUAAAAUGCAGAAGAAAGUUGGGAGGCUAGUAAUCAUAAAAUGUUUAUUGAAUCGAACAUGUAAGGGUUAAAAGUUUUGAGAAUAUGACCGCUCGAAAUAUGGAAGAAUCUAAUUUUAGUUUUCGAUGAUUUUUUUUCUCUUAUCUUAUGUUUAAGUGAAAAAGCUGCAAAUUUCAAUUAGCACCAAACUAUUUCAUAGAGAAAGUAAGAUGGGAAAACAAAACAAUUUAUAAACACAUAUUUAAUAUGUGAUCUAUGAGUGAUGAAUUAUGGAUUCAUAAUUGAGACUUGAAGAGUAAGAGAGUUCUCAUAUAGUUAUUUAUUUAUUUAUUUUUAUUCAUUUCCUUCAUUUAAUCUAAAACUUUUGUAGAAAAAUAUCGAUUCAAAGUAAACUAUUUAUAUUAUGGACAAUGAAAUGUUCUAAUUAUGUAUGCGAUUAAUAAAAUAUUUAAAGACUGCAAUUAUGGAUUGAAUUUAUUAUUUUCAAUAGAAUUUUUUAGAAAUGCAAUACUACUUUUUAAUAUGUAUUAUUAGGUUUGAAAAAAUUAAAUGUGAAAGUUAUUUUAUUUUAUUUAUCAAUUAUAUAUAUAAAUAAUAACUGACUUAAUAAAAUAUGUCAUUUAAAGUGCGUGUGUGUGUGUGUAUGUGUAAGGGUAUUUUUCACCAUAAAUAUAAAAAAUGUAAAAAUAAAAUGCAAAUUCGAAUGUUUAUUAUCUAUUCACGCUUAGGUUAUUGAAAAAUGAUUCAUAGUUUAUUAAAUUAAUAUAAAUUAAUGGUGAUUAAAGAGUUGAUGAAUUAUUACAACACUACUUUUCAUCUAAUGCUUAUCAAGUGAACAUUAGUUAACGGGAUUUUGUUGACUAAUAUGUUUUAUUUUUGAUGGAAUCUUUUGGGAAUGCAAUAUUCUUUUAAUAUAUAAUAUCAGGUUUAAAAAAAUUAAGCUUAUAUAUAAUCUUAUUAUUUUUAUAAAUUUUAUAUAUUAAUAUUAUUGAUUUAAUAGUCUAUUUCAUUUCAUGUUAAUUAUAUAUGUAGUACUAUUAUAAUUUUUAUUUUGUUUUUAUAUAAGUUUUUAUUAAUCAUAAACUGAUAAUUAGUAAUAAUAUUGUUUAGUGGAAAUUAAUUGACAUAGUUUUAAAAAAUAAAUAAUUUUAAUUUUAAUAAAAAUUGAAUUUAGUUGAAAUAAAUUUAAAUUUAAGGCUAUUAUUGACCAUAACAUAAAAAUAUAAGGGUAAAAUUGAAAAUUAAAGACAUAAGGAUAUAUGAAGGUAUAUUAGACUUAUAGCAAAAUUUGUAAGAGUAAAAUUGGUUAUCAAAAGUUUCUCCUCAAUCCGCACUUUUAGUAUAUUGUAGACUAUUUAUAGUGAGGACUAUGAGAGUGAUCAUACGUAAUAUACAUAUGACACUUUGUUAUUUAAUGCAUCAAAUAAAAUACUGCCACGUCUAUGUCAUGUAGAAUAAAUAUCGAUAGUCCUCAAUAUGAAUAACAUUAUUCUUUAUUUUUGGGACUGACAACUCAAAAUAUUUACUAUACAAGGACCCAACUGCUAUUUUUUUCUUAUAAUUUACAUAUUUUAUUACUUAUAAAUGCUAACAGAUAUUAUUUUUUAAAAUUAAAAAGUACAAAAUACUUUAACAUAAACUAGGACCCUGCUUUGUAGAGUUUUUUAAGAAUAGAUUUCGUAAAAAGUGAUUUCUAUAAAUCUCAUGCAAUAUUAUUUUAUUAAAAAAUUAUACGACUAAAAAUGAUUUAUUAUUUAUUAUUAUUUUUUUGAAAUGAGGCUCAAUAGGGCUAAAUAACAAACAUAUUGCUUGUCCUAUUUUUUGAAAUCACAAAUAUAGCCCCUGUUUAAUUUAUAUAGAAAUUAGAUUUUUAAUAAAUUUUAAUAAAAGUUGAUAGAAUGUAUGGUUAAAAAAUUGUAGGUCCUAUAAACGUGUUAUUAAAAUUCAUUAUUGACUUUGACUUAAACAUUAACUCAUACUUGAUAACCAUUCUUUCAAUAUCUUUUAUUAAUAAAUUAAGGGUAAUUGGCACAAAACGUCACCACCUUUAAAGUUUAUUGUGAAAAACGUCACAACAUUUCAUUUUUUGACAUUUUCACCCCUACCUUUUACAUUUCUUUGCGCUGAAGGUCAUUUUUAUUUGUUUUUGACAAUUUUACACUUCAUUCAAAUAAAACAAAAAGAAAAAUAAAUAAAGAACUAUUACAAUAAUAGUCCCAAAUUUUCAAAAAAAUUAUAUAUUGAUCACAAUUUAUUGUGAACUGAAAAAUUUUAAAAUUGCCCAAAAAAAGAAAGAAAAAAAAAGGAAACUUGAAUGUACAGAAAAAUAAUCAAGAAAUAGAGAAAUUUUUGAUCCAUAGCCAAUGAAACUGAAAAUCUUCAAAAAUGGGUAAGCAUAAAUCUCAAUUUUUAUUUUAUGAAGAGUAGAUGGAAGGUUGAGGCAAAAAUAACGUAAUCUUCAAAUUUUUUCAUUUCCAUUGGUUAUGACUGAAAAUUUUCUCCAUUUCUUGAUUAUUUCCCUAUAUUUUCAAUUUUCCUCAUGACUAAUUUAUAAUUUAAAAAAAAAUUUGGGACUAUGAUUGCAAUUAAUUCUUUAUUUUUUCUUUUCUUUUCUUUUUUUUGUUUCAUUUCAAUGGAGGGUAAAAUCGUCAAAAGGACCUUCUGUGCAAAGAAAUGUGAAGGUAGGGACAAAAAUGCUAAAAAAUGAAAGGUAGGGAUGUUCUUGACAAUAAACUUGAAAUGUAAGGACGUUUUGUGCCAAUUACACAUAAAUUAAUCUAUCUUUAACUAAUUUAGGGCUAUAAUGUUCAUCCAAUUGCAACUAAAAAGGUCUUGGGUGUCUACAAGGCUAAGGGGAUUGGGCUUGAAGUGGCCCAUUACAGGUUGGAUCUACCAAGCCAGCAAGGUUCAUUGGAUGGGCCAUGUUGGGCAUAAGACAAAAAUUUUGAAAAAGAAAAGUUUUAUAUCUAAAAAAUUAAAGGAAAAAGAUUCAUAAUUCAGGUGUAUUGUUUACACCAAUUCAAAACUCAGGUAUAUAGUUUGAAAUUUGAAAAUCCACAUAUGUAUUUAAUUAAUUAAAAAUAUUUAUUAAAUAAAGAUAACAACGUCACAGUUACAUGAUUAAUGGUCACAGAUUUGUAAUUAUAUGUCACAAAUUUAUUUACCGAUCACAUAUCAUCAAAUUAAUUGAUCACAGAUUAUUUAAGGUAAAAAAAAAAAUUUGUAGGUCACAGAUAAAAAAUUUACAGCACAUAUUAUUUUGAUUUAUAAUUAAUUGAUCAUAGAUUGUCAAAUUUUUAGGUCACACUUAAACAGUUGGUCACAGAUAAUUAAAUUGUUGGUCACAUGCAUCAAAUAGUGGUCACAUACCACCAUCACCAACACUAUCGCACCGCUGUUACCAUCACGGCCAUUUGCGACUGCUCACACCACGUUACUGUCGCUGUCUCCACAAUAGCACCACUACCAACACCAACAAAUUGCCACACCAGAUCAAAUCAAAUACCAACAAAAAGUAAGACAACCACAACCACCUCCGUCGUCGGAAACCACCACGACUGCCACCACCAAACACACAAACAUUACCCAACCCUCAACCUCACCAAUACCACUGCUAACAUGAACGCCUCCACCAUCGCCAUAAACUACCACUACCGCCAACACCAAACACACCAACUAUACAACCCAUAACCUCACCACCAUCUCAACCGCCAACACGACCACUUCUUUUUUGUGACCACAGCCACCCACCAUUGCACAUCGAUGCUGCAUAUAGAAUUCAAUACCACUGUGCAAUGGCGUCGGAAACAAAACACUACUGCACACAGCGGCAGUUGCAGUGAGUGCUACGUCGCUGCACUGAAAUCCGAACAUAGAUUUCACAAGCACCGCUAUUUGAAGUUGUGACUGCAGCAUCGCCAUCGCAUUGAUAUCAUUGCUGCAGCACGAGAUCUGAAUAGUGCCAUCAUCUGCAGUGGUCCAUGUGCAAGCAGCUUCAUUACGGCACCAGAACCUUCACCACCAACGCCCCCUCAAACCCAUUUCUUGCCCCUAUUGUCAUUGUGUGUGUGUUUAGAGAGAGAGAAAAGAGACGAAGAAACGGGUUUAGAACCUCCACCACUGUCAUCUAUAGUGGUCAAGUUUUAGAGUAGCUGCUUCAUCACCGCACGAGAACUUCACCAUCGGCGCCGCCCUCAAACCCAUUUCUUGCCCCUAUUAUCACUAUGAGUGUAUGUGUUUAGAGAGAGAGAGAAGAGAUAGGGGAAAUGGGUUUGAAAUCGAUAGAUAUAUUUUGAUGCGAACCCCAUAGCAACAUUGACUACGAAACCCACAACAAGAUUGACGAACCUAAGAAAGCCAAAUUAAUCCAAGAGUUUAGGAUUAACCCAAAAGAAAGUCGAACCAAAAAACCCAACAAGAACGAUGCUUGAAAGACCUCUUGAUCACGCAAUCCAAGAAUUAAAUCCGAUUGUUUGAACGCCACAAGUUAACACUUGAUAAGUUCGAAAUUGUUCAAUGAAGAAUGAUGAAGAGAAGACAAUACGUCUCACUUUUAAUUCAAUAUCAAUAAUGUCAAAAGGUUUUUAACAAUUGAAUGGAAACUCCUAUUUAUACUAAACCUAAAAACUAGGUAAAAAUCGUGCAAAAGUCGAACAUAAUCUCUCCAAAAUAUGGAAAAGAAUCAAAAUCUAACAAAAUAUGAAAAAUUGCCAAAAUUGAAAAAUUCGACAAAUUUUUGGCCUGUGCGACCGCAUGGUGUAUUUCCAUGCGGUCGCAUGGUUCAAUAAAAAUUUCAAUUAAAGUUUCGGUAUGCCACUGUGCAGUUGCAUGGUGUUUUUGUUGUGCGGUCGCACAUGCUUAUUUUCAGCCUCCGGUUUCGUCGCUUGAUAACAAAUUGAUCCAAGUUGAUUCGGCCUUCGACCCGAACAUGAAAGUUGCUUCAUUUUGAGUCGCAAACAUGGUUCCAUCAAUGGUUUCUUGAACGAGCAAUCCCAUCGCUUGUUUCACUUGCUUUGCCUUUGAUCGUGUCAUUGGUCUGCCAUCGACUAUCAAUGGGUCUCGUCUCGCACUUGCCUUCGUCGGGCUCGACUCCUGGAUCAUAUCAUCCCCUCCCUCUUCAAAAGGAUUCGUCCUCGAAUCUGAACCUGCAUCAAACAGAGAGAGAUCAGAUACAUUAAAAGUAGCUGAAAUAUUGUACUCACCUGGAAGGUCCAACUUCUAAGCAUUGUCGUUUAUCUUUUCGAUCACUUGGAAUGGACCAUCGCCCCUCGGUUGCAACUUGGACUUCCUUUGCUCCGGAAACCACGCUUUCCUAAGGUGCACCCAAACCCAAUCUCUAGCUCGAAUGUCACAUGCUUCCUACCUUUGUUCGCCUACGACGCAACCAACUUACUUUUGUUUUCAAUUUGCGCUUUUACCUUUUCAUGGAGUGACUUAAUCAAUUCCGCCUUCUUUUUGCCAUCUAAACUACCACGUUCAUUCACAAGUAAAGGAAUUAAAUCCAAAGGAGUUAGUAGAUUAAAACCAUAUACAAUUUCAAAUGGAGAAUAUGAUGUAGUAGAGUGAAUAGCUCGAUUGUAUGCAAAUUCAACAAAUGGUAGACACUCCUCCCAACUCUUCAAAUUUUUAUUGAUUACUGUGCAUAACAAUUGUGUCAUAGUCCUAUUCACUACCUCGGUCUGCCCAUCUGUUUGUGGGUGACAAGUUGUGGAAAAUAGUAACUUAGUGCCUAACUUACCCCACAAAACUCUCCAAAAGUGAUUCAAAAAUUUGACAUCCCGAUCCGACACUAUACUUCUAGGAACCCCAUGUAAAUGCACAAUCUCUUUAAAAAAUAAGUCAGCAAUAUUCGUGGCAUCGUCAGUUUUGUGACAUGGUAUAAAAUGUGCCAUUUUGCUAAACCUAUCUACAACCACAAAAAUAGAAUCCCGACCUCUCUUAGUCCUAGGUAAACCCAAAACAAAGUCCAUCAAGAUAUCAACCCAAGGCUCACUAGGUGUAGGUAAAGGUGUGUACAAACCUUGUGGCAAAAUCUUAGAUCUAGCCUUUUUACAACCUAUACAUCGACUACAAAUUCGCUCAACAUCACUUUUCAUCUUAGGCCAAUAAAAAUGCUCCUUCAAUACAUCUAAAGUCUUUUGAACUCCAAAGUGUCCCAUCAAUCCACCACUAUGUGCCUCUAUUACUAACAAUUCUCGAAUAGAACAAUUAGGAACACAUAACCUAUUUUCCCGAAAUAAAUACCCCUCAUGUCUAAAGAACCUAUCAACCGCCCCCUUAAUGCAUGAAAAAUAAAUAUCCGAAAAAUCAACAUCUUUUCCCUAUAAUUCUUUAAUAUGUUCAAACCCAAGUAACUUAGAAUCAAGAGUAGUUAGCAAGACGUACCUUUGAGACAACGCAUCCACCACCACAUUUUCCUUACCUUGUUUAUACUGAAUGACGUAUGGAAAGGUCUCAAUGAAUUCCAUCCACCGAGCAUGCCUCUUGUUCAAUUUACCUUGUCCCCACAAGUGCUUUAGUGACUCAUGAUCAGUGUGUAUUACGAACUCCUUCGGCCAUAGAUAAUGUUGCCAAGUCUCCAAAGCUCGAACAAGUGCAUAAAGUUCUUUGUCAUAUGUAGGAUAAUUUAAAGCAGCUCCCCUCAAUUUCUCGCUAAAGUAUGCAAUAGGCCUCCGAUCCUGCAUUAAAACUGCUCCAAUCCCUAUUCCUGAUGCAUCACACUCAAUUUCGAAUGUUUUAUCAAAGUUAGGUAAUGCCAAAACAGGUGUUUCACACAAUCUACCUUUAAUAGUAUUAAAUGCAAACUCCUGUUCAUCACCCUAAUAAAAACAUAAACUCUUCUUAACUACUUCCGUGAGUGGUGUAGUGAUAGUGCUAAAAUCCUUCAUAAAUCGCCUAUAAAAACUAGCCAAAUCAUGAAAACUCCUAACUUUUGUUAUGCUUUUAGGUGUUGGCCAAUCUCUAAUAGCCUUUAUCUUUUCAUCGUCUACUUCUACCCAUUAGCACUAACCACAAAUCCAAGAAAUAUAACUCUAUCCAUACAAAAUAUGCAUUUCUUAAAAUUAGCAUAGAGUUGUUCUUUCCUUAAAAAAAUUAGCACACACUUUAAAUGUUCCAAAUGCUCUCCUAGGUCUUUGCUAUAGAUUAAUAUGUCGUCAAAAUAAACCACAACAAAUUUUUCUAUAAAAGCACGUAAAACAUGAUUCAUUAAACGCAUAAAAGUGCUAGGUGCAUUUGUGAGUCCAAACGGCAUAACCAAUCAUUCAUAUAAACCAUAUUUAGUUUUAAAAGCCGUUUUCCAUUCAUCACCCUCCCGCAUACGAAUUUGAUGAUACCCGCUUUUUAAAUCAAUUUUAGAAAAUAUGCAAGAACCAUGUAAUUCAUCAAGCAUGUCAUCUAACCUAGGUAUAGGGUGACGAUACUUUACCGUUAUGUUGUUGAUAGCCCUACAAUCCACGCACAUUCGUCAUGUUCCAUCCUUUUUUGGUACAAGCAAAAUCGAUACUGCACAAGGACUCAUGCUUUCCCUCAUGUAUCCUUUGCUCAUCAACUCCUCCAGUUGCCUUUGAAGCUCCUUAGUCUCCUCGAAAUUACUUCGAUAAGUCGAUCGAUUUGGAAUGACAGCUCCGGGUAGGAUGUCAAUUUGAUGUUCAAUGCCUCGAAUAGGCAGCAAUCCACUUGGUGCAUCCUCCGGAAAUACAUCGUCAAAUUCCUGCAACAAAGACUUAGCCAAACUAGGGAGGGGUGGGUUAGUUUCCUCAAAAUUGAGGAGUGAUUCCUUAUAAACGAACAAGAUCAUCUCUUUUCUCUCAACUACCGCCCUCCUCAAAUCACUAUCUUUUGCAAAGAAAUUCGCUCAUGUUUUCUCUCUUCUCUCGAGGCACUCUCUUUCUUUUCUCUCUUGUGAAUGCUCUCUCUUUUCCUCUCUAAUGGCUAUCUCAACAUUUUCUCUCUUUUUCUCCAACUCACUAUUUGCUCUCAUUUUUUCUAACUCUUUUGCUCUCCUCUCUUCCUCACUUCUCAAUUUUAAUUGGUCCUCAUAGGCUUGCACCGGUGUUAAUGGCACAAGAGUAAUGGUCCUUCCAUCCUUAAUGAAACUAUAUCGAUUUUUGUACCCAUCAUGCAUAGCUUUCCUAUCGUAUUGCCAUGGUCGCCCUAAUAAAAUAUGUCCCGCUUGCAUUGGCACCAGAUCACACACUAACUCAUCCUUAUAACUCCCAAUUGACAAAUUAAUUAACACUCUUCGGUUCGCCCUCACCUCGCCUCUCUCAUUCAACCAUUGCAAUUUAUAAUGUCUCGAGUGUUUCAACAAUGUUAAACCCAACUUUUCUACAAAAGAUACGCUAGCUACAUUAGUGCAACUACCACCAUCAAUUAUAAUACUACAUACAGUAUUGUUGACGUGGCAUCGAGUGUGGAAAAUGUUCUCCCGUUGCAACUCCAAGUCAUCCGCUUUGACUUGAGUAGUGAGAGCUCGCCUUGUGACUAAUAGAUCCCCAACCGGCCCUUCAACUUUUUCUUCUUCACUAUCACCCUCCAACGCUGGCAUGUCAUCAAAUUCGCCAUCACUAUCACUCACAAUCUCUCCAUUAUCCCGCAACACCAUCACCCGUUUGUUUGGGCAUUGAGAAGCAAUAUGCCCCGUUCCCAAACACCUAAAACAUUGGAUGUCCCGAUUGCGCGACGGUUGUGCCUCCGAUUUUGAUAUUGGUCUGCUAGCAUUUUUAUCCUUGCCCUUUUGCCAAUCAUUUUUACCUCUAGGUGCAACCCCAUUUUUGUUGUUGUCAUCUCACUUCGAUUUCCAUGUUGGAUUAGGAGCCGAAGUACCUAACGGUUGCCUAGAUGUCCCCUUCCUCUUCAAUUGCCUCUCGACCUUCAUUGCCACAUGUAACAUGUCCUCGAUUUCCACAUAGUGUUGCAACUCUACAACAUUUGCAAUAUCUCGAUUUAACCCAUUCAAGAACCGUGUCAUGGUAGCUUCCCGAUCUUCUUCCACAUUAGCCCGAAUCAUAAGAAUUUCCAUCUCCUUGUGAUAAUCCUCCAGACUUUUCGAUCCUUGGUACAAACCUUGCAGUUUUUGAUGGAUUUCCCUAUAAUAGUGACUCGGAACAAACCUCCUCCUCAUCAUCAUCUUCAACUCAUCCCAAGUGCUAAUUGGCCUUUCCUGAACCCUACGUCGUGAUGUCAGUACUUGAUCCCAUCAAGAUAUCGCGUAAUCCACAAAUUCAAGCACCGCCAAUUUUACCUUUUUCUCCUUCGAAUAAUUAUAGCACUCGAAAAUCAUCUCAACCUUUCUUUCCCAAUCUAAAUAUGCUUCCGGGUCGCUUCUCCCCUUAAAUUGCGGAAUCGUCAUUUUAAUACUUCCCAAAUUUCCAUAUACUUCAUCUCCCAAGUUAUUUCUACCCCGUCUUUCCAUCCUAUCGGCCCUAUCCCUCGCUCGACCCAUAUCAAUGUCAUUUUCAUCAAAAUCAUCCUCAUCACUACGAUACUCAUCUCGCAUUCCUCUCCUAGAUUCACACCUACCCGGCCCCCUAGCAUUAGACAUCUCCAUUUGUCCCCGACUAAGAUUAGCAAUUGUAGUACCCAUUUGUGCCAUCCAUUCCCCUUGCCUAUCCGCCUUCUCCCUAACAUCACCAAGUACCCUUUCAAACCUCCUUAUCAUGUUCUCCGAUGCAUUAUUGUCAUUACCGUUUCGGCUUGAAUUUGAACCUUCUCUUUCCGACAUCAUAUCACACAAUUUUUUUUUAUGCCUCACAAAGAUUUCACUCAGAAAACACUCACUAUGGCUUUUUCCCUCUAUUAAACUCACCACUUAGCCUUUUACCACUCAAAGUCUCCCUCCAAGCACUUCAAAGAACCAAGUGAACUAAAUCAUUUGUUUUACCGACAAUUCAAACAAACCAAAUAUUAAUCAAAGACCACGAGACUCAAAGGAUUUGAAUAAGUGGAACAGAUGAAUGUUUUGACACGAAUAUGUAAAUAGACUCAAAAGAAGAAUGAAAGACUCAAACCCAAUUGAAUAUCCCAAAAAUCAAACACAAUGUACGAAUUGUUGUUGGUAGAAAAAAAACACAAAAUCAAACAAUGAUAUCAAAUUAUAUAUAUAUAUAUAUACCUCGAAUGUACAGUAACCCUUUUUUUUCAUUUUUGUACUUUUUUUUAAUUCCUUGAUGAAAGAAGAUGAUUAAACUACCAACAACUAAACGAAACGACGAAAAGAAAAACAAGGACGAAGAAGAACUAAGAAAGAACAAAUAAAAUAGAAGACGAAACUAAGAAAACAAAAUUAACGACUUAACAAAAUAAAGAAAAGAUAUAAGCCAAAGCUCUGAUACCAACUGAUGCGAACCCCGUAGCAACGUUGACUAUGAAACCCGCAAUGAGAUUGACGAACCCAAGAAAGCCAAAUUAAUCCAAGAGUUUAGGAUUAACCCAAAAGAAAGUCGAACCAAAAAACCCAACAAGAACGACGCUUGAAAGACCCCUUGAUCACACAAUCCAAGAAUUAAUCCGGUUGUUUGAACGCCACAAGUUAACACUUGAUAAGUUCGAAAUUGUUCAAUGAAGAACGAUGAAGAGAAGACAAUAUGUCUCACUUUUAAUUCAAUAUCAAUAAUGUCAAAAGGUUUUUAACAAUUGAAUGGAAACUCCUAUUUAUACUAAGCCUAAAAACUAGGUAAAAAUCGUGCAAAAGUCGAGCAUAAUCUCCAAAAUAUGGAAAAAAAUCAAAAUCUAACAAAAUAUCGAAAAUUGCCUAAAUUGGAAAAUUCGCCAAAUUCUUGGCUUGUGCUGCCACAUGGUGUAUUUCCAUGCGGUCGCAUGGUUCAACAAAAAUUCCAAUUAAAGUUUCGGUAUGCUAUAGUGCGGCCGCAUGGUGUUUUUGCUGUGCGGUCGCACAGGCUUAUUUUUAGCCUCCAGUUUCGUUGCUUGAUAACAAAUUGAUCCAAGUUGAUUCGGCCUUCGACACGAACAUGAAAGUUGCUCCAUUUUGAGUCCCGAACAUGGUUCCAUCAAUGAUUUCUUGAACGAGCAAUCCCAUCGCUUGUUUUACUUGCUUUGCCCUUGAUCGCGUCAUUGGUCUGCCAUCGACUAUCAAUGGGUCUUGUCUCGCACUUGCCUUCAUCAGGCUCGACUCCUGGAUCAUAUCAUAUUUAUUUAUUAAUACUUGAUUUAUGAAUAAUAAAACUUAACCCUUGAUUUUUAAAUUCUAAUCUUUAGACACCUGGAAUUUUGUAAUUUCCUCAAAAUUAAGUAUGACCCAUUUUAGAAAUGAGAAUAAGGAUUAAAACUUCAAAACUAGAUAUUAAUUAAAUUUUAUUUAUGAAAUAAUUAAUUAAAAUAUAUUUUAUUAAUUAAAUAUAUCAAGGUAACAAUUCUAUACAAUUGGGUCACUAUUAUUGAAUUAAUUGGUCCUUAAUUAUUUCUUAAUCACAAAUUAAAAAUUUCAUAGAUCACAAAUUAUUUUAAGGUCAUAAAUCAAAAAUUUUAUAAGUCACAAGUUAUUUAUAUGUGACAAAUCAAAAAAAAUUUAGCUCACAAUUUAUUUACCACAAAUUACAAAUUUUAUAAAUCACAACUUAUUUAACGCUCACAAAUUAUCAAAUUAAUUGGUAAUAAGUUAAAUUUUAUUUUAUUCUUAUCACAACUUAAUAAAUUGUGAGUUACAAUAACACUUUUAGGCCACAUAUUAUUUAGUGGACAAAAGCACUCACCAUACCCCCAAUGCAUCGCAUCUUACUCAAGACUGUUGCCACUACCAUCAUCGCCACGACCACCACUUCACCAGAUGGCCAACAUCACUACCACCCUUACCAUCAUAGCCAACAUCACAACUACAACCACACCUAAAGACCACCAAAAAAUCAUCCAAAAUAAUGUUAUUGCACAAUCAGGUAGUCACCACCACCAACUCACUAGACCGCCAACAUCACUACUACCUUACAACCGCAAUGAACAUCACAACCACCACCACCCUAAGACCACCAAAAAAUCAAAUCCAGAAUAAUGUUAUUACACAACUAGGUCGCCACCACCAUCAACAUCACAACCAACUCACUAGAUCGCCAACAUCAUCACCACCUCGCCUUCCAACCAAUAUCACAACCCUCGCAAGCCGCAAGGAAUGGCCACAGCGCUCAUUGCUACUUUGAUCCCAAACCCUAAUAGAUUCCUCCAAAUCCACCAUACUUAUAUCUCUCUCACACACAUCACAAGUCCAGCCACCAAUAAUCUCUUCAAACACUGGCAUCUCUGUCUACUACAGUGCUCGUUUGCGCACCACACACCACGAGUCUUGUCGUCCAUUUCUUUUUUUUCCUCAAUUUUCUUCCUCACAUACGAAAAUUACUGCCACAUAUAAGAAGACAGUCAAAAUAUAUCAUGAGCGAUACUAUAAUGGCGUCGCAAGUGCUGCUCGCAGCGUCGCGCACAACAAUCGACUACUACUCAAAGCAUCUGCCCAAACACAGUUUGAAUAUUUACAACAGCCAGUAUUUUCUCGUCUAGAAAGUGUCUUUCUUGGUUAUAAAUUCAGUGUUAAGGGAUAUAAACUUUGGUGUCCAAAAUUAAGUAAGUGGUGAUUAGUAGAGAUGUUAUAUUUGACGAACAUACAAUGGUUCAUAAUUUAGCUCUUAGAGAUUCUUUAAUACAAAUCAGUUGAAAAUUUUUUACUCAUGUAGAAUUGGAGAUUAGUUCAGAAUCUAAAGUAGAGUCUUCACCUCAGUCUAAUUCAAAAGUAAAUGAGACUACUACUUUGCUACCGUCGCUAGUUUUACCGCAGUAUACUAUUGCUUGCGAUAGAACUAGAAGUGUGAUUAGAGCUCCACAAAAAUAUGAAAAAGCUAACUUGGUAGCAUAUAUAUUGAAUGUGGCAAAAAAUAUUAAUUCUAGUAAAGAGCCGACUACAUAUGCAGAUGCAGUAAGUUGCAAUGAUUUUAGUAGAUGGAUGACUACUAUGCAAGAGGAGAAAUAAUUACUUCAUAAGAAUUGAACAUAGGAUUUAGUAAAAUUAGGUAAGGAGAAAAGCACUAAUAGCUGUAAAUAGGUGUUCAAAAGGAAGGAAGUACAUCAGAAGUUGAAGAUGCCAAGUACAAGGCAAGAUUAGUGACUUAAGGUUAUAGUUAGAUUUCAAGUGUAGACUUUACAUAUGUGUUUUCUCCAAUUGUAAAGCAUGGUCCAAUUAGAGCUUUGUUUAGUAUUGUGGCUAAGCAUGAUUUGGAGCUUGAGCAAUUGGAUAUAAAGACAGUAUUUUUGCAUGGAGAACUUUAAGAAUACAUAUAUAUGUAACAAUUUGAAGGUUUCAUAGUCAUUCAAAAUGAGGAUUACAAGUGCUCUUUGAAGAAAUCCGUUUAUGCCUUGAAGUAGUUACCAAGAUAGUGGUAUAAAAUAUUUGACUUAUUCAUACAAUUCACGAUUUUAAAUGAAGCAGUUAUGAGAGUUGUAUGUAUUUUAGGAAAUGUGAUGAUGGGUCAUCUAUAUAUCUAAUACUUUAUGCUGAUGAUAUGUUGAUAGCUAUCAGGGAUAAAAUAGAGGUAAUAAAGGUGAAAGUUCAGCUCAAUGGAGAGUUUGAUAUGAAAGAUUUGUGAGCAGGAAGGAAUAUUCUUGGAAUGGAGAUUUUGAGAGAUAGGAAGGCUGAAGGAUUAUAUUUGAGUCAGAAAGGGUACAUUAAGAAAGUACCCUUCAGGUUAAAUAUGCUAAAUGUAAAAAGGCUGCCAGUGCUACUUUGGCUGUCCACUUCAAAUUAUCAUCUGCUUUGUGUCUACAAUCUUGUAUGCCAUAUUGUGUGCACAUCCAGAUUUGGCAUAUGCAGUUAGCAGAUACAUGUCAAAUCCUGACAAGGAAUAUUGGAAAGCAGUUUAGUGGAUAUUUAGAUACUGCAUGGCUCUACUAAUGUUUGUUUACGUUUUUGGAGAAAUAUAGAUGGAGUUAUUAGUAUGUUGAUUCAGAUUUUGUAGAAGAUCUUGAUAAAAUGAGAUCACUUACAGGGUAUGUGUUUACCUUCAGAGGUUAUACUAUUAGUUGGAAUGCUAUUACAGAUGCUUGUAAAGAAGCAAUGUGGUUGAGGGGAUUGUCUGGUGAAAUCAUUGAAGACUUGUAGAUAGCUAAGUCCUUUGUCACAUUUAGAGUCAUAUUUGUCUAACAAAAGAUUAGAUGUUUCAUGAGAGGACAAAGCAUAUUGAUUUGAGGUAUCAUUUUGUGGUGAAGUGAUAACUCAUAGUGAUAUUGUAAUGAGCAAGGUUGAUAUCAAGAAGAAUCAUGUUGAUAUGUUGACAAAGACACUCGUCGUGGUCAAGUUUGAGCAUUUUUUGGACUAAAUUGGUAUUUGUAACUAAAUUAGCCCUUAGGGGCUUGUGUGAAAGGUGGGGAAUCGCUUGUUUAAGAGUGAAGAAUAAUUCAUUACAGUGAAAUGUGAGUCAAUAUAAAAAUUUGUUGAAGUAUGACCCAAAUUCCAUUAGGCAUUAGAGAUUAGUUGAAAAUGGCUUUGAAAAAGUAAAAAUAUAGAUUUGGGAUGUUUUGGACGGAGAUUGGUUACCUAGGGGCCACCAUUUGGACGCCUAAGCGUUAUUCGGAGUAAAAAAAGAUUUGGAAUAAGGACAAGGCACCUGAAUGCUAUACCUACAGUGCUUCAACAUUGUCGGCAAGAUGCCCACUCGAGCCCCAGAGACAUGUCGCUCGCUUGGCACGAGGGCGCAGCUCGAGCGAAGGUAUUAUUAGGCCUAGAUCUGUUCGUAAAUAUGCUGAAUUUUAUAUAGUCCAUCCCAUCUAAAACACAACAAUUAGGAUAAUAUAAAUACUCCACGAUUUGUUGCCUCUUCAUAUAGUUAGAAAACAUUAAAUUUGGUUGAGAGCAUCAAAUCUUCAUAAGUUUGGGUGAUAGCGUUUAAAUUGUUGUGAUUUUGUAUUGACAUAUUAGAUAGCCCUACUGGCCUAGCAUGCUUGAUGUUUAAAUUGUUAUUGAUUCAUGAGUUAUGCUUAACCAAAUAUGCUAUUUGUGUUUAAUUUUUUUUGAAAAAUUGCUUAUCUAUGUGAGAUCCUAAGUUACUUUGACCACAAUAGUCAUGAUUAAUUAUUAUCUAGGUGUGAAAAUUUUUUAUUGAUGGAGAGAUUUUUUUAAUUGGUAGAAUUAAGUUGUGAGUUACUUGAAAAUUUAUAUGAAGCUAUAUCUAUUUCUCUUUCACUUAACCAUAAGUUUGGGGGUGAUCGAGUCGGUGAAUGAUAUUAUCUAGAAGUGUGUUGAUUCUAUGCAUGUUGAAAAUAUUUUUGUGGAGUGUCUUUUGCCAAGUAUAAGCUAGGUAAUGAUCAUAUUUUUGGGAUUUAAGCCUCAUAUAUUAUGUUGUGUUUAAAAAUAAUGAUACUAAACUUGUUGAAUCUUAGGCCUCACUUCAUAGCCUUUUGACUCGAGUUAUUAAGCCCGCAGGGGUAUCUUGAAACAUGUUACCCUUCAGCAUAAACAACUAGAGAGUUAUGGACCUAAACCUCUCUACAAGAUUCAAGAAGAUAGCUUAAAGAAGUGAGGUAAAACAUUAUAUUUGAUGAGAGAGAGAGAGAGAACUAUUGUGCAAUUGUAUUUAAUAUUUGGUCUUAGAUAACUAGUCGUUUGAAUUACUUAGUAUAAGCUUGAAUAUAGAAACACUCAUUAGUGGAGAAUCAUCACAUGACUAGAUAUUGAGAUUGCCGAUUAGAUCCAACGAAACUAGAGCGGGAAAAGAAAUGAGUGAUUGGAGGGCAACAUAUAGAUUUACACCUCACGGAAGAAAAGAAACAUAUAUUUGAGGAGUGUAAAUCUCACGAGAGGGAAAGGAAAUAUUUGACCACAAAUGGUCGAAUUGGAGCCAAUUUGAAAAUUUUUCCGUCUUGACAACAUUUUUUCGAAUUUAGAUGAUAAUUGAAAGUGAUUAUGCACACACACCGAUCGAACAUUAGAUAACUUUAAAUUAUUUUAGCUAGCAUUAUUUGGAACAUAUUUGUGAAUUGAUCAUAUAGUUUUACACUUUUUGAUAUUUUUGACAAGCUAACUAAUGUGUGGAUCUUUAUUACUUAUACUUGAUUGUGUUGUAGAUAAUUUUGCUCUUAUUACUUAUACUUGAUUGUGUUGUAGAUAAUUUUGCUCGAGAUGAGUAAGAGUUUAAAUUUGGGAUAUUUGAUAAGUGUGUUUUGCCAAAUUUAUUUAAUACAUAAAUAUGUUUAUAAUUGAUUAAAUGAAUGUAAUUCUACUUACAAUUAGAUAACAUUUGCUUUUUGUAGGCCAAAAAUCACCCAAAGAAAGAGAACAAGGCAAAAGGAAGUGAAAAGGACCAAAAAGCAUAUAAAAUUAUGGAGGUGGGGACCAAAAUGCAUAAGUGUCAUAAGUUCAAGGACCUGGAGAUGCAAUUUUGGAAGGCAUAAUUACAAAAAAAAAGUCAAAAUUUGAGGACCAAAUUGUAUGAGAUUAAAGUUAAGGGACCUACUAUGCAAAUAUUGGAGAGCCCUGAACUGCAAAAUACUGAAAAUGGGGCUGGCACCUAGCACCACUUUAGCAGUGCCUAGGUGCCCAGCUGCUGUCUAGUUGCAAAUUUUGGGCAUCACAAUGCCCCUUUUCAGCACCUUGGCUCCCUCUUCCAAGUUUGGGAACCUUUUGCAAACUGUUGAAAGCCUAAGGACUUAGCUGCAAAUUUUGUAGGUUUUAACAUAAAAACCAAAUCUGGGUUUCUUGCUAGGAGAAUUUUGCCGAUUUUGCUUCCUACUUCUUUUAAUUUUCCUUUUCUUUCCUUUCCUUUUCCAUUUCUUUCUUCCUUCUUUUUCUUUCCAUUUUUCAUGUUAAUAUUUGAAGCAAAGUCUAGGAGCACUAGGAGAAAACAUUUGAAGAAAUAGUUAGGAAAAAUCAAGAUUAAGCCAUUAAGAAUCCAAAUCCAAAAAAGGGGUUUUAUCUUCGUUCUUUGCAUUUUCUUCAUUAAUAUCUCAUAUUUGUAAUGUACUGUAUGAAAUAUUUUAAUUUUUAUCAUUUAUAUGAAAUAGGCUAGUUAUUUAUGUUGGAAUUUAUGGUGUUAGUUUAACUUAGCCUUUCAAUGUUAAAUUACUUAUUUUCUUAUAUUUUUACUAAUGUUAUUUUUUUUUUUUAUGUGGCCAAUGAAUAAUUAUGUUUAACGAUUUGUAUAUCGUUCGAGAGAAGAUGUGCAUUUUAGACCAAAUCCUAAGUGACCUAUCGAGUUAAUUCACAAAUAUUUAAUACAAUUGUUUGAUUUUAAUCGACAUAAAGAUAUUGUAGGUUAAACCAAUUAAUUAUGGUUAAUUUUGCUUGAGAGAGGUAAUUAACUAAAAUUGAAAAAUCGGGUCUAACAUCAUAAAUGAGUAAUUUGUUAAUUAGUUUGUGGAGAAAUUAGUUAGACGACGGUUAAGCGAAACCAUGAAUCCAACCAUGUUUUCCUUCGAAAUUUCCAUGAUUUUUAUAUUUUCUUAUUUUAUACGUUUUUAGUUAUUUUCCAAAAUUAAAUCUUUAUUGUGUGUUCCUUUUUAUUGUGAGAAUUAAAUUAAUUGAAGUUGUGUAAUCGGAAGUAAAUAUUUCUCGAGGGAUCUAAAACCCAGACUCAAAAGGUCUAUUUUAUUAUUUGAACGCGACUCAUACACUUGCAGCAUGCAAUUUUAACGAACAAUUUUUUGACUUUGUUGUCGGAGAAUAUUUUUAGUUUGAUUACCACUUUAGUUAAUUUUAGUUUUAACAAUUUCUUUUUAUUUUUUUUGGUGCUUUUAUUUUUGUAUAUUUUGGCUAACCCUGUGUUGUUAAUCUAAUUUGUGUUUGUAUUCUCUUCCUUUACUUUUUAGAUAUUUACAAGAUUUUGAUUUCGGUAAAAUAACAAAAUCGUUGCAAUGACAAAUCUCUAUAUGGACAGUUAAAAUAUGCUUCGAGGAUAUCCAAGUUGUGAAAAUUGUUAUGUGGUGCAUUUUAAUGGGAAUUGCUUGUUCUCAUACACUAGUUUACACACGCCAAAACUUUUGAGGUUUAGAAAAAUAUUUGAGGCGUCAAAAACAAGCCAUUGAUAAAAAUGAUGAAGGGUAUAUGUUCAUGGGAGAUUUGGUACCUUACAAUUGGGAUAAGGACAUCAAGCUUGUGGGAAAUGGUCCUUCCCUAUUAAACGAGAUGGUAUUUGCAAAAUAUUUCAAAAAACUUACCUUGUUGGAUGAAAAGUGAUAUUCUUAUGGGUGAUUACAUGUAUUGGGAAGGAUUUCAAUAAUUGGGGUACAAUCCACUUGAAGUAGUUAAUGAGACCGACUUCUCAUUACCCAUGGAUUUAAAUGUUGGAUCGAUCAUUCAAUCCGAAGAAAUAUCAACGGUUGUAGAAAGGCUUAAAGUGAAUGAUAAUGUAAUCACAAUGGAACCAAUCGAGGAUAUAGGAAUCAAUGGAGAUGAAAUCAACUUACAUUCGUCCUACUUCAUUGAUUUCAUAGAAGUUUAUUUUGUGAUUAAAUCUGAUGAGGAGAUGGAAAUCUACACUGUUGAGAUUGAAUCGGAUGGAACGAAAAAGUCCUACUACCUUGAAAAGGAAAAUGUCGAGGUUUUGAGAUCAAACGAAGAGUGAAACAAAGCCAAAAGAAGAAAAAUGGACAAGGCAUCUAAAGUCUUCUUUAAGUGUCCAUAAUCCAAUUACCAUAGUCGAGCUAAAGACUGUAAAAAAGUGCUUGUUGGGAGGCAAUACAACUUUUUAACUUUUAAUGUUUUUAUUUAAUUUUAUACAUUUUCUUAUUUUUAUUUAAUUAGCUAUUAUUUUUUGUAGGUAAUUUUUGAAGUCCCACAUAUCUAUGAUUUCUCACAAGUUUGGGGGUAAAUUGGUGUACAUGAAGGUCACUUACCCAAGUUCAUCAAGAGCAUCACAAAUCCAAUUCAACUACUGGUGCCUCUUCACAAAUACACAACCAAGGAAGUUUCGUUAUCCUUCUUCUCUUUUAUCUCGUUCUUUACACAUUGACGACUGUAUGUGAUUUAAGUUUAGGGGAGAUUGCAUUUAAAUUGUUGUGAUUUUGUAUUGAUGUGUUAGAUAGCCCUGCUGACUUAGUAUGCCUGAUGUUUAAAAUUGUUAUUGAUUUAUGAGCUAUGCAUGACCAAAUAUGCUAUUUGUGCCUAAUUUUUUUAGAAAUUGCUUAUCCACGUGAGAUCCCAAGUUACUUUGAGCACAAUAGUCAUGAUUAAUUGUUAUUUAGAUGUGAAAUUUUUUUUAUUGAUGGAGAGAUUUUUAAAUUGGUAGAACUAGGUUGUGAGUUGCUUGAACAUUUAUAUCAAACUAUAUCUAUUUUUCUUUCACUUAAUGAUAUUGUGAGAUAAAUUUGGAGGUGGUUGAUCCGAUGAAGGAUAUUAUCUAAAAGUGUGUUGAAUUCAUGCAUGUUGAAUAUUUAUGUGGAGUGUCUUUCGCCAAGUAUAAGCUAGGUAAUAACCAUAUGUUAGGGAUUUAAGCCCCAUAUGUUAUGUUGUGUUUAAAAGAAUGAUAUUGCACUUGCUUAAUCUUAGGCCUCACUUCAUAGCACUUUUUACUUGAGUUAUUAAGUCCGUAGGUAUAUUUUGAAACCCGCUACCCUUUGGCCUAAAUAAUAGGGGAGUUAUAGACCUAAAGAAGAAAGUUUAAGAGAAUGAGGUAAAAUAUGAGAUUUGACUGGACACACACACACACAGAGAGAGAGAGAGAGAGAGAGAGAGAGAGAGAGAUUGUUGUGCAAUUGGUUUGAUAUUUUGGCUUAGAUAGCUACUGGAUUUGAAUUACUUGGUGUAAGUUUGAAUGUGGAAGCACUCAUUAGUGAAGAAUAAUCACAUGACUAGAUGUUGAGAUUGCCAGUUAGAUACAACCAAACUAGAACGUGAAAAUAAUGAGUGAUUGGAGAGCAACAUUUAGAUUUACACAUUGAAAAAGAAAAGAAGCAUAUAUUUGAGGAGUGUGAAUCUCACGAGCGGGAAAGGAAAUAUUUAACCACAAAAGGUCAGGUUGGAGUCAAUUUGAAAUUUUUCUCCGUCUUGACAAUUUUUUUCCUAAUUUAGAUGAUAAUUGAAAGUGACUAUACACACACAAACAAAUUGAACAUUAGAUAAGUUUAAAUUAUUUUUGCUAGUAUUAUUUGUAACAUAUUUGUGAACUGAUUAUGCAAUUUUACACUUUUUGAUAUUUUUAGCAAGCUAUAUAAUGUGUUGAUCAUUAUCAUGUAUGCUUAUUUUUGUUGUAUAUAAUCUUUCUCGAACGAGCAAGAGUUCAUUUUUUGGAAUAUUUGAUGAGUGUGUUUAGCCACACUUAUUUUGGCUUUGUUUGCUUCCCAUUUUUUUUUAAAAUACAUUUCUCUCUCUCUCUUCUUUUCAACCACACAUUAUUAAUUCAAAUAAUAUUACACAUAUUUCAAAACUUUUUUUUAACCACACAUUUUCAUUAAUCUGAUAUUCUAAAAUACUUUUUUUCAUAAAAAUGGAGCUAAAAAACCUCUUAAUACCUAAAUAUCUUUAUAAUUGAUUAAAUGAAUGUAAUUUUACUCACAAUUAGGUAACAUUUGCUUUCGCAGGCCAAAAAUCAUCCAAGGAAAGAGAACAAGGCAAAAGGAAGUGAAAAAGGACUAAGAGCAUACAAAAUUAUGUACUUGGGGCCAAAAUGCAUAAGUACCGGAAGUUCAAGACUUGGAAAUGCAAUUUUGUAGGUAUAAUUUAAAGAAAAGUCAAAGUUUUGAGGACCAAAUUGUAUAAGAUUGAAGUUGACAGACCUAUUUUACAAAAUAUUGGAGGACCUGAGUUACAAAACAUUGAAGGCACCUAAGUGCCACUAUAGUAGUGCCUGGGUGCGUAGCUGUUAUUUGGUUGCAAAUUUUGGGUGUCGCAACACCCCUUUCCGAGUUUGGGGACCCUUUUGCGAACUUUUGAAAGCCUUGAGACUUAGCUGCAUUUUUUCUAGGUUUUAAUAUAAAAACCAAAUCUGGGUUUCUUGCUGGGGAGAUUCUGCCAAUUUUGCUUCCUACUUCUUCUUUUAAUUUUCCUUUUCUUUUUUUUUUCUUUUCUUUUUGCCUUCUUUCUCUUUCCAUUUUUCUUGUUAAUUUUUGGGGCAAAGUCUAAGAGCAUAAGGAGAAAACAUUUGGAGAAAUAGUUGGGGAAAAUCAAGAUUCAGCCAUCAAGAAUCCAAAUCCAAAAGAAGAUUUUAUCUUCACUCUUGCAUUUUCGUUAUUAUUAUCUUAUAUUCAAAAUAUAUUGUAUGAAAUAUUCUCCUUUUUAAUUUUUAUAUUCGCUCUUUAAUGUUAAGUUAAUUAUUUUCACGUGUUUUUCCUAUUGUUAUUUAUUGCAUUUUCAUUUAUGUGGCUAACAAAUUAUUACGUUUAGUGAUUUGAACAUCGUUCGAGAAAAGAUCGUGCAUUUUAGACCAAAUAGUAGAAACCUUAAGGUUUGUGUAGAGGAUGGAGAUAUUUCUCUAACCCUAGGUGCCCAUUGAAUUAUUUUCAUAAAUAUUUAAUGCAAUUAUUUGGUUUUAAUUGGAGUUAAUUUUCCAAAUAGUUACUGAACUUUGCCAAAAGUUCCUAGGAGGUCACUGAACUUCCAAAAUUCCUAAAUAGUCACUGAACUUUGCAAAAUGUUCCUAGAUUCGAUGACCUCCUGAGAACUUUUGGCAAAGUUCAGUGAUUAUUUAGAGAAAUUUUGAAGUUCAGUGACCUUCAGGGAGCUCAUCGAAUCAAUUAGGGACUAUUUGAUCAGUUAUGGACUGUUUGAGUAAUUAACUCUUUUAAUUAGCAUAGAGAUAUAGUAUGUUAAAUCAAUCAAUUAGGGUUAAUAUUGCUCGAGAGAUGUAAUUAACUAAAAUUGAAAAAUCGGUUCUAACAUCGUAAAUGAGUAAUUUGUUAAUUGAUUUGUGGAGAAAUUAAUUAGACAACGGUUAAGCGAACCAUGAAUUCCAACCACUUUUUCCUCCGAAAUUUUCAAGAUUUUUAUACUUUUUAUAUUUUGUACGUUUUUAGUUAUUUUUCAAAAUUAAAUCUUUAUUAUGUGUUUCUUUUUAUUGUUAGAAUUAAAUUAAUUAAAGUUGUAUAAUCGAAAGUUAACAUUCCUUGAGGGAUCAACAAUUUAAACUCAAAAUAUCCACUUUAUUACUUAAAUGCGAUCCAUGCACUUGCAGCAUGUAAUUUUAACGAACAAUAUCGAGGGAUAUUCAAUGCAAGUGUAAUCUUUGCUAUGAAUUUACUUUUUCAAUUACAAAAAGGUCUUGGAAGUAAAUUUAGCAAAUAGUAUUUACUGAGAUACUUAUAUAUUAUAUAGUUUAUUAGGUUCAUAUAUUAAAUUAUAGUAUUUGCAGAUAUUUUAUUUUUUUACUAGGUUAUAUCAAUGGUAUGAAAAUCGGACUGAUCCUGCCGGUUUAAUCGGAGAAAUCGAGAUCUUGCCUUAAAUCCGGUUUGGUCAUUAUAUAUUAACCCCAAAAAGGAAAGCCAGUGAAUAAACUAAUGAACCGGUCGAUUAACCACAAAUUGAAAAAUCGAUCAUGAUUUUUCACUGAAUAUAUAAGGUUUUUUUUUUUCUUCCAAAAAAUAUUUCAACUUUGUUGAUUGGGCUCACUUGCAAUGGCAGGCCCAAUUGAAAUUUACCUUCAAAGUGUUGUAGCUUUUAAAAAACACUCCUUAUACACAUUUUCUUUGAUCAUUGGGAAAAAUCCAUAUAUGCCAUGAUAAUAUGAAGUAAUUCAUUUUAUACUACUAAAUAGAUUUUUAAACCACAAUUACUACCUAAUCUCAUAAUAAAACCAAAAUUACUAUACAUGAAACCUUCUUAUUUUGUGAUUGUAAAUGAAACCAUCAAAUGCGGCAGAAGGGAUGGCAUUAAAUCCAUAUGUUGAACAUACGGGAAUUUGAAUUCAAAAUGAUUUUUCUUGCUAUGUUAAUGUUAUCAUUUCAAUUGUGAUAAUAGAUAAUCAGCAACCGUGUGAGAUUUGCUUCAGAAAUUUCUUCAAGAUGCGAGAUCCGUUUUGUUUACUGGUUAUCUUCUUUGUAAAAAUGAUUACAUCAUCUCUCUAAUUUAAACAAGAACAAAUGUUAUGUUGUGUAUUCUGAACGUUGAAUUUUCGUCUGUGAAUUCCACCUUUUUGUAAAAUAUUUGUACUGUUUUGUGAUUAUUGUCUGGUAAUCAUAGAGGUUUUAUGAUUUGUUAUAUACCUAUAUCUCUGUAAUGUUAAAAUAUGCCUCAAUUAGAAAUCUCACCUUGUAAAAAUACUUGUAAAAUCCAUUUUUAUGUUUUCACAAUUUCAUUUGUUGAUAAACAUUUGGUCCAUGAUUCUUGAGUUAUCAUAACAUUACUCAUACAUACUUAUAUCAAUAUUAGAAACUUAACUGAUUUAUUCAUAUAUGUCCACAUAUUCUUUGAUAUGUAUGAAAUUAAAUUAUUGGGCAAUCAGCACUUCAUGAAAGAAACUCAGUGUGUUCUUCUAGUCAUUCAUGAAGGUUCAAAUUACAUAAUCUGUGAAAUUAUUCAGUCGGAGCACUCGUCGAUUUGGGAUGUCUUCUACAGUAGCAUUGUUUUUGUGAAGGUUAUAUCGCAAUCCUUAAUCUAAUAAAUAACUUAAUUCAAUUUGUUGAUUGAGCACAUUGCUGAUGUAGAUAUAUCUCCUAUUCGAAUAACAAAUGACAACUCUCUACAUUUUUAUUUGGACGUCGUGGAGGGAAGGGCCAUAAUAAGAGAAUGUGUAAGUAGCUCUUCAACUAUUUCAUGAAAGAAAACGAAAGUGUGGAUCCAAUAUGAAUAGUUAAUAUGAAGAAGCGGAUUGUCUUGGUAAUUGGGAUGGUGCCAAAAUAUGUAACGCUUUCAUAUUUUAUCUUUUUUUUUUUUUUAAUUUUUGGUCUAUGGAUAUGUGUUAUUUUAUAUAAAUUAUCAUUAUUUACAUUUUGCUUGAAAUUCGUAUUCCUGUUGUUGGAAUGGUCACCCUAAAAUUAUGUUGCUCUUAGUUAUCAUAAAACAUAUAAAACACAUUUCGAGACAGAAAAAACAAAAUUGACUACUUUGUCGCAUAACCAAGUUGGAUUUUCUGUAAAAAGGCUAAACUUCGUAGCAUAAUACUCAUGAGACAAACACUCAAAGAUAGAGAAUAAAGAAAGAAAUGGAAAUUUCAUGUUAAAAGAGAACAAAAAGAGGUGAGAUCGAUACAGAUACUUAACAUCACUUUUGAAAGUUUGUUAGUGGGAUAAUGUGUGAAAUGGAGGCAGGUGCUUCCAUUAUCACUGUGAUUGAAUUUGUGGACAAUAUUAGUGUUUUGUGUCCUGCGAUAUAGAUGUGUCCUAUAACUUCUCAUAAUGUACACAUCAAUUUCCUAUUUCUUUCUUUAUAUCCCACCACCAACAAUACAAUCCUAAAAAUCUUCACAACGUUGGUAAUUCUUUGGCCAUGCUUGAUUAACAAACUAAAAGUAACAAUAUGUACAAUAAUUGAAGAACAUUUGGCACAAAAACUUACAUCGCCUAUGUAAAUGUUAAAAGUGGACAUUAAAAAAGACAACAAAAUAUAGGUGUCGACUAAUUACUAGAAUAGAACAGUAAAAAAAAAAAAAACUCCAACAAACAAAAGCCAACAACGCAAAAUGAAAUUACCAACAUAAGAGCAUGAUAAUACCAUUUCAAGAAAGACACAAUUAAAAAUACAAUAUUUGAACAUAGCAAAAAGGCAUUGCAAUCUAGAGCGAGAUGCAACAGCUUGAAACCACCUUACAGUUGCUCAUAUAAAGUGUAGAUGAAGUUCAAAAACCUAGAGUAAUUACAUAAAUAAUCAAAUCAUCAAUCCCUUCAUCUUCUUGUCAUGCCUAACAGUACACGGUUUAAGAUUGAAAUUCUGUCAUAUGCUUCAAUAAUCUUCUCGCAGCCACGUUUGAAAAGUUGAUUACCAAGUUAGCUUUGAAUUUCUUUGAAUUGAAGCUUUGGCCCAUUCCAUCAUUCUCCCAGUUUAUUAUGUAUUCAACGAACUUUAUCACAAACAAUUAGCAAUCAUGCUUGACAUAAAUUAAUAAAAUUCCUGUUAGAGAAUGGAUAUUACAGACGACGUGAUGUUAUUAUUAUCAUCCUUUUAAUUAAAAACAUUAUGAACUGCAUGUUUCAUAUAAGAUAUUUUGCAUUACACGUUCUAUAUUCAUGUACAUCUGAUGAAUUUCAAUCAUUUAAUGAACAGAAUGAGCAAGAAUGUAUGUGCAAAUAAGUGACCAUAUCCUAUGCAUCAAUCAUAAACAUGAAAUAAAAAAAUCAGAUUUCAACACAUACAGCAUUCUACCUAUUCACUUGAAAUUUAAAAAAAAAAAAAAAAAAAAAAAAAAAAAAAAAAAAAAUUAAAAAAAAAAAAAAAAAAAAAAAAAAAAAAAAAAAAAAAAAAAAAAAAAAAAAAAAAAAAAAAAAAAAUUCUUGAAAUAAAUAAAUAAAUAAAAUUGUAUAAGCACGACUGUAUGUGGAAUAAAUGACCAUAUCCUAUGCAUCAAUCAUAAACGUAUUCAGGUUUUCAAUUACACAUGAAAUCAAGAAUUUAACUUUCAACUCAUACACCCCUCUAUAAAUUGACUUAAAUUAAAAAUUUAUAAAUUGGGAGUCAUAAAUAUAUGCUAGCAAAACCGAUAUAAGAGUCCACAUAUUUGUCAAGACAUCGAAAAAAUUACCUGUGGUUUUUGUAAGACUUUAAACUUUUUCUUUCAGUUGCUGGGAUCUGCAUUGGCAUCUUUAAAUUGCCUCUUACCCUUGUCCUUCGUUUGGUUAAUUAUCCCCAAACUUUAGGAGUUCGUGUUUACGACACUUGCAGCAGAUGGACGGCUGGUGAAAACUUUUGACCGUGAGGAUAUGUAAAUAGAAUGUGUGAUGCAACAAGUAGGGAUGUUAAUCAUUUUGUUCUUGGGUUCAAUAAUCUCACAUGACUUGGAGGAACUGCUUGCUUGCUGAGUCUUGAUGUUACCCAUAGAGAAAUAUCGUUUCUGGACCGCCGCGACCGGGGUCUCUUGGACAUUUUCUCACUAACCAUACUAAUCCCAAUGGAGAUGUAUUUGUAUCAGCAGCCAUGAUUUACGUCUCAACAAUUAGACAUAUAUUUUCACAAUGCAUUUCUAGGGUUUUAUAAUAGCUUGAAUGUAACAACAGAAAGUACAAAAUCAAACGGUUGAUUUGUGCAAAUUGUGGUGAUUGUGGUGAGCAGGGAUAUGUGGAAGAUCAAUAUGGUGUUAAUAGAUUAUGAUUUUCUUGAGGAUGGAUGAAGAAAGAGACUAUUUUGGGGGAGGUUUUGAUUUGGAAUACGAAUAGACUCAUUUUUGGGUUUUGGAGUAUAUUUUUUGUUAAAGAUAAUUGCUAUCAUCAAUUAAGGGCGUGUUUGUUGGGAUCAUAUUUUAAAGGCGUGAUUGUUGGUUUAAAAUUAGCAUCAUAAUUGGUAGCAGACUUAUUUUGAUAACUUUUAACAUUUGUAUUUUACUAUAAAAAAAAAGUAAUUAUAGUAAAAAAAAAAAAAAGGUUGAAAAGUGUAAUCUAAAUAUUUAUUUAAAACAGGUACCAGCAUAAUUUCUCUUGAACAUUCCAUGUGUGACAGAAGCUAUAGGGCCUAUAGCCAAUUGAAAUCUUAAAUGUUUAAUUAUGGGCAACUUACAAAAGAAUCCCCAAAAUUAGGGAUCUUUUAAAAAAUUAUAAGAAAAGUUAAGUGUAACUUUUUUAUUAAAUGUCACUUUUAUUAAAAAGUGAUAUUUUUCACUCAAAAAAGUGAUAAAUUUUUUUUUAAAAAAAAAAGGCAAAAUAUCAAAUAAAACGUUAAAAUCGGUUCAAAGUGACAAAAAAUUAGAAAAAAAAAAAAAGUGACAACCACCGUCCUUCCUCUUUCUCCGUUUACUGCUAAACAUUUUAAAAUCAUUUCACAAACAAAAUACCAAUCAAAACGUUUAGUAUUUUAAAGUCAAUGCACAGCUACCGUCUUCGUAUCGCUUUUUCUAUAUCUAUCCACACACUCCUCAAUGCCGUUACAAAAUGUCUACUUUAUAUACACAACCACCACAACCUUAACCAUCACUGCUCAUUAAUAUUGACAACGGCUCCAUCAUUCCCACCAAUAAGAGAACUGUACCCAACAGCUAUCAUAGAUACGCAUCAUCAUCAUUAUCACCACAUCUAAAUCUUCUAAUUCUUCGUCAAAGUGUAGCGAUUGUUGUAAUCGCCUCCACCAUUAUGGUCUCGUAGUUCAUUUACCUAUUUAUCACGCUCCUGUCUAGGCGAUUCCACCACUACACCUUCUCCGAUGUUCACCUACAAAACAACACAACACCAAUAUUGCUUCAAAUAAUGCGAACUCUACCAAUACCAUGUGGUAUCGAACAAUUUGAGAGUCUAUUAGUUUCAACACAUUUGAAUCAAAAUGAAACAACUUCGAAUUGAAACUUCUUCUGUUCGCUUUUGUGCUUUGGCCACCAAAGCAUCAGUUCUUACUUUGAACUCUUAAUAUUUUCUCUACAAUGCAAAAACAUUGUCUAAAAAUGAAUUUAAUUCCACUAAAUUCACCAAAUAUAACAGAAGAAAAGAAUUCAUCUAUUUUACCUUCAUAUCCCUACGUUUCUUUACGAAAGUAGGCUGAACUUUAUCUUUUAAGUAGUAAAUUUUCUUAGAAAAGUAGAACUCUGGAGCUCAAGGUUCAAUGCUCUAUUUUGGACAAAAAUGCACCCACCUCCUUACAAACUCAGCUAUUUUAGCUAAUGCAUCAAAUGGAAGCAUCGAGACUCCAUCAUCUGCCAUAUAGCAAGUCAGUUUCUCAAUUGGAUAAUCUACAUCCAAGAUUGAAAAGACGAUUUGCAGUAAAAAUGGGAAUCUAAAAUUAACAUAAUUUUAUAAAUCAUAAAAAAAGUUAGAAAUUGAGAAAGAGCCACAUCCAAAAAGAUGAGCAGUCGUUGAUCCGAUGAUGAGUUGUUUUAGAGGUGGUCAGCGACGUAGGUGGUGGAGCGAUUGUAGAUGGCAAUGCGGGUGGCCAGUGAUGAAGCUCGAGCAUUAUGGAGUUUUGUGAAUUUUGGAGGUUUUCACUGUAUAAAUUACGAGGUUAAGAACUUUUGGGCCGUAUGAAUUAGUCUUCAUUGUAAUAAUCAAUUUUAAAACUUAUGGGCUGUAUUGAGCCUAAUUUUCCCUUUAAUUGUUUACUUCAUUCUAAUGGGUACAAACAAUUUCAAUUAAACAAAGUGAAUUAUUUUCGACAUAUUAAUGAUUAGUUUUUGAAGUUUUAAAAUAAAUUAUAAGCUAAUUAAUCUAGUUGACAAACAUGAAUUUAUAUUUUAUUUGAAUUAGUAGUGCUAAAAUCAAAGUGAAGAAGAAUUAGAUCAAACAUUUGCAUCAGGAUCAACAUCAGCAUCAAAUGAUUUCAAUUGUGAUGAACUUCAAAUAGCUCGAAUUGAACAAAAAUUACACAACUUGACUAUACCAAAGGUCGAGAAAAACUCUAUCUAUGAAAUAGAAAAAUUUGAUUUCACUCAAAAUUAUGUUAUUAAAACUUUUGAACAAACAAUACCAAUCAAAAGUCAAAAUGCAUUUAUCAAUUUAUCAAAUGAAAAUAUUGACCAUUUGAUUGGGGUAGUAUGAUGGAAGACAUGGAUUAACUUAUUUUCUAUAUCUCAAGUAUUUCUUUUUAUUUUAAAAUUUUAAUUCGAAAUAUAUUUUUACUUUUCACAAAAAAAUUGAAACUUUAUUAUGCUUCAUUAAUUUCACAGUAUUGAAAUAUGUUUAACCUUUUAAAUUUAAAUUCAAUCUUUUAAAAUAUAUUUAUUUUAUUAUAUUGAUAAAUUAAUGAUGGAUUAUCAACAUACUUGCUUGAUUGAUAGUGCAACUACAUAAACCAUUCUUCAAGACAAAAAUAAAAAUAAAAAUAAAAAUUUGACUUAAUAUUAGCAAAAAAUAAUAUUAAUACGAUAUCAGGUGCAUCAAAUAUUGUUGAAGGCUCCCGGAAGAGCUUAUAUUAUUUUACCAAAUAAUACAAAAUUAGAUAUUGAUGACGCACUUUAUUCUAGCAAAUUCAGAAAAAUUUUGCUUAGUUUUAAAGAUAUCCACUGCAAUGGAUAUUAUAUUGAGACGAUACAAGAAAAUAAUGUUAAAUAUCUUUGCAUAACUUCUUUUAUAUCUGUCAAGAAUCAGAUAAAAGAAAAACUUCAUGAACUCCCACCUGGCAUGCAUUAUACAUUUAUAAAAUGGUUGAAUCAAAUAAUUUUACGAACUAGAAGUCCCUUGACCCAAAAUGUUUUAUACUUUGGCACAAUCGACUUCGACCUCUAGGAUCUAUAAUAAUGCGUCGAAUAAUAAACAAUUCAUAUGGACAUCUUUUAAAGAGCUAGAAGAUUCUUUUACCUAAUGAUUAUCCGUGUGUAGCUUGUUCGCAAUGUAAGUUAACCAUUAAACCUCCGAUUAUAAAUGUCAAUAUUGAAUCUCCAACUUUUUUAUAAAGAAUUCAUAGAGAUAUGUGUGGGUCAAUACACCCACCAUGUGGAUCAUUUCGUUAUUUUAUGGUAUUAAUUGAUUUUUCUACUAGAUGAUUGCAUGUUUGCUUACUUUCAUGUAGGAAUGUAGCAUUUGCUAGAAUACUUGCUCAAAUCAUAAAAUUACGAUCACAAUUCCCCAAUUACUCAAUCAAGAGUAUUCAUCUUGAUAAUGCUAGUGAAUUUAGAUUUCAAGCAUUCGAUAAUUAUUGUAUGUCAAUUAAGAUUGUAAUUGAACAUUCAGUUAUGCAUGUCCAUACAACAAAUAGUCCAGCAUAGUUGUUUAUUAGACGUCUAGAACUAUUGCUAAACCAUUACUUAUAAAAAAAAAAAAUUCCAAUUUCCAUUUGAGGUCAUGCCAUAUUACAUCCGCAUCAUUGGUUCAUAUAAGACCAACUACCUCUUAUCAAUAUUCCUCUUUGUAACUUACAUUUGGUCAUGGGUCUAAUAUUUUUCAUCUACGGAUUUUUGGUUGUGAUGUCCAAAUUCCUAUUUCAUUCCCAUAACGUACUAAAAUGGGUCCCUAACAAAAACUUGAGAUUUUUGUGGGUUUUGAUUCACCGUCUAUUAUAAGGUGUCUUGAUCCUUUUCACGAAUGAUUUAUUUACUACACGUUUUGCUGAUUAUCAUUUCGAUGAAAUGAUUUUCCCAACUUUGGGAGAACAAAAAAUACAUCCUAAAAAUUAAGGUAGAAUUUCUUAAAAUAAAAUAACUUUAUCUCACUUUGAUCCCCACAGCAAUCAAUGUGGGCAAGAAAUUAAAAAAUUAUUUAUUUGUAAAGAGUUACGAAUCAAUUACCUAAUAUAUUUGUUGACAAAAGAAGAAUGACAAAGUCAUAUAUUCUAGCAGAAAAUAUUCCGACAAAAAUUGAUGUCCUUGAAGGACAAUCUGCUGUAGCAAAUGAAUCUCAAAUACGUUAGAAGCGUUGUUGAUAGUUGGAUCAAAAGGCUCUGUACUGAGAAGAAGAAAGGUACAGGAGAAAAACCAAUCAAGAACUUCAGGAAAGGUAACUCUAAAAAAGAUUGAUCAAUCAAAUACUAAAAAUAUGGUUCCUGAAUAAAUUAUUGAAAAGAAGCCAUAUAUGUGGAAUUGAAUUCCUUAGAGAAAGGAAAAGUCUUUGGACCUGUAGUUCAAACUACUAAAAAUGUAAUCCUUGUAGAAUUCAAAUGGGUUUUUGUAUGAAAAAUAAAUGAAAAUAAUGAAAUUAUAAGAUACAUAGCCCAACUCCCAGCUCGAGGUUUCUCACAAAAAUCAGGAAAACAAAUAUUGGAUUUGUAAUUGUAGUAAUUUAUGUUGAUGAUUUAAAUAUAUUUGAAACUUCAUAAGAGCUCAACAAAAUUGCAUAUUAUUUAAAAAAUAAAUUUGGAAAAAAAUCAAAUUUUGUCUCGGGUUACAGAUUGAAUAUUUUUCAGAAGGAUUAUUUGUUCACCAAUCUACAUAUACAAAAAAAAGUUUUAAAACGUUUUUAUAUGGAUAAUGCACAUCUAUUAGCAUUACUUAUGGUUUUUCGAUCACGUGAUAUGAAAAUAAUCAAUUCCAUCCGCUUGAGAUAGAGAAGUGUUCUUGGUCUUAAAGUAUCAUAUCUUAGUAGGAAUUGCAGCACUAACUUAUCUUGUAAGUUGCACUCGACCAGACAUAGUUUUUCUAUAAAUCUCAUUACAAAAUAUAGUUCUACACCAAUUCAAAGACAUUAGAAUAUUGUUAGACAUUUUUCAUUACUGAAAAAGUAUUAUAACUUCUUGCAGAUAUUGCCGAGGUGGCUUUUGCAAGACCUUGUAACUAGUUUUGUGCUCAUUCUCAUUCUUCCUUCAUACCAAAACAUGAAAAAUAGAUACAAGCAUUCAUCGUGCACAUAGAUAUUUAAAUCAUAAUAUAAUUAAUGUGUGUGAGAGAGAGUGCAUAUAAAUAGAACAUUAAUAGUAAUUUAUUUGAAGAUUUAAUAAAUUAUAUAGGUAAAUAUUCAAUGUGAAAAUGAUUUACACCGGUAUAAUGAUUCACCAAUUAAAUGACAUAUCAUUUAAUUAGUGAAUCAUUAAACCUAUGCUUAACAUAAGUUAAUCACUACUUUAAUGAUUUAUCAAUUAAAUGAUGUACCAUAUCAUUGGUAUUUAACAUAAGCUAACUACUGAUGUUUAGAAAAUCAUUCCUAAUAUUCAAUGUUUCUGAGUUAAAUCUUGUGUAAUUUAGUACUCCCCUCCAUAAAGAAAACAUUUUAUAGGAGAUCUAUUAUAACUUUUCCUGCUUUCCCAACCAACGAACGCAGCAAAGUCUGUGAUUCUAGGACCAGAUUGGCAAGGGAGCAGAGGAAGGAACGAGACGACAAUGAAGGUCACUUGAGAAAGUCACAUCAUACUAACACGGACGAUCGACAUCGAAGCUGCCAAGCCAGAUUUGCUAGAAAAGAUAGACGAACAUAGUCUUAAAAGCAUAAUAUUUAGAUAUAAAGUUUACAAACUUAAAACUAUGUUAAUUGAAACAAUCCUCACAAAUUUGCAUUAAAGAAACAAACUAGCUCCACAUGAAAUCCUUGAAACUUAAUAGACCAACAAAUACACACACUGUUUUGAAAUCGUCUAUUCAAAGGCCCACUGGUUCUCUCUUCGGACAUCCUCUUCCUCUUCAGGUGUAAAGUCGUUCUUGAUGCUGAAUGUCUUCCGUAUCUCCUCGGGCGUUUUUCCCUUGAUCAUGUCAGCAACAGUUUGACAAGUCAAAUCCAGGAGAGACUUGAUAUUCAGAUAGUUAGCGGCCUGAAAAGUUAGAAUAGAAAGGAUAGAUAAUAUCACUUUUAUAACUCAGCCACAACUGAACAGAGGUUGACAAAAUCCUAGAUCACGAGUUAACGCGAAUGCAACUGAAAUUUUUUUUUAUUCUUCAUUUGUUCAAAUAAACUGUGCAGCAAUUAAUAGUUCAAUUACAAGCAAGCUUGCAAUUAACAACAAUGAUGUAUAAACUAUCAUCGAGGUCUUAUCCUGUACAUCAUAUUGCUCAUAUAAUCAGAAUGAUUCUAUACAAUUAUAAUAACAGGGUGCUAAAUGAAUUAGUGCCCAUGUAUUUCAAAUCAAACAGUUAAGCUAUUUUCAUAGAAACAUACUGCACAACAAAAGUCAGCUUCAAACGUCAAAAAGGGAAGACGUCAAGAAAUUCAUGUAGCACUAGGUGAAGAAAAUGAUAUAGCGAACCCCAAUUCCUGUACAAUCAACAUGUACGCUCUUCAUACUUGAUAACUACCAUUCAAAAAAUUAGUUUCAAAUCUAAAAAUUGUUAAUAGUACAUAAAACUUGAUGUCAAAACCAACUAGCACUCUCUAUUCUCAAACUAAAAUGUUUAUUCAAAUAAUAUAAAUUUGUAAUCUUCGGUUUUUUUCCUCACAUAUAUAAAUCAAUUACAAUUUCAGCCUUUCGUAUAAAACACUACACAGCGUUCCAAUUACAAUUUCAGUUCGAGUAACAAGUAGUUUAAACCUGGGAAGAACGAACAUGCUGCCAGCAUCUACAUAUCGAACACCAGUAGUCUCCGACACAUCUUUGAUGCAUCGGAGGUCCUUGCAGCGUGUCGGAGACGAAGGAUGCAGACUGCUAGAAGAGAACAGUAAGAAAAACAGAUGGCCAGAUGAAAUGCGGUUAUGGCUGGAAGAAGGGCACAGACGAGUGCGAAAGAAAGGCUCGGAUGUGGCUGACAGUGAAGAAUAAAUGAAGAGACAGUGAUCACUGAGGAGGAAAAGAAAUGAAGAGUCUGAGGAAGUAAACCAAUGCAAUUUUUCAAUUCAAAUUGUUGGGCCCAAUAACACUAAAUGCUCUAUAAAUUGUCAAGGUGUCGGGCAAAUAGUUGAAUUGGAAUAUAUUCAUAUUUUUGGGCACCAUGUGCAAUACACAAACUAAAUCUUGCUUUGAAGAACAUUUGUGCCACAACGAACGUUGAAAAUUAUAAGAUCACAAAUGAGGAAAGCAACUAAAUUACUAGUCUUCAUGAUGAUGUAAUGAUUGUAAAAACUUUUACCAUUAACCAAUCUAUGAGACUAGCAAUGUUUAAUGAAUUUGUGUCGUUAAAGUUGCUUAUCGUAGAGAAGACACAAUUAGCUUCUACCGUUGUCAUUCUAAAAAGAUUCAAGCUUAUCCAACAUUGUGUUCAAGCUUUGGUUAUUAGUGAAGAAUGAACAUUUUAUCAAGAGAUGAUAAGACGAAGGCAAGUUUUGUCAAAGACAGUGCUUGAUGAUUUUUAAUGGUACUCUAUAAGUUAUGUUCUUUCGUACAUUUCUCUCAUUUAAGACCUGCUUAGAUUUUGCUUAGAUUUUGUGAUACGGAUAAAGCUUGCCUUCAUUUGGUCUACGAAUUUUGUGAUACAAUGAUUGAGAAAGUGCGAGGAACGAUUUAUAGGCAUGAGAAAAAUGUUUAAGAGGAGCUAUCAUCAUGCUACAAUGUUGUUCAUUGGAUACUUGUAGGUCGUUGGAACAAAAAUAGAACUCCAAUUCAUUUCUUGUCUCAAUCUCUAAAUCCAAGGUAAUUUUUUAAAUAUAAUUCAUACAUUUAUCGUUUAUUUACAUUUUCAUAGUGUUUAUUGUUUCUAGUUAGUUAUUAAAUGAAUUGUCAUUUCUUCAAUUUUCUCUCUUAUUCAGAUACUAUAGUGAGGAAUGGCUUAAUGAGGAUCAAGAGUAGAGAUUUCAAGAGAAAGAAUAUAGUGCUUCAAGAUGUACUUGUCAAAUGAAGAGCACAAUAUGGUGAAUAAGGAGUGUACUAUAAAUUCUCAACUAUGGAAGACAACUUUGGUGAUUUUGAAUCUACCCAUGAUUGUUACCGUUUGGACCCCGAUGACUUGGUGGGUUAUUUAUGGCAUUUGCACACCUAUGCUUCAAAGUUACACAUUAAAAUUAUUGAAGCAACCAUCUUCUUGAUCUCGUCGUGAGUGAAAUUAGAGUACUUUUUCCUUGUGCAUUCUUUUAAAUGGUAUAAGAACUCCAAACCAAGGGGAAGAUUAGCUUCCACCCAUAGCAAUCUUCGUCUCUCGUCGAGGAGGAGUGCACAAUAUUCACAAGGACACAGAUUAAAAUAUGGGAUAUCGGUAGAGAUGCAUUUGGUACAUUUGAAGAUAUUGGUGUACUUGAAGUUGCUAAUUUGUCUCUAAAGAUGAAUGAUGUAAUUAAUUUCGUUUUUAUCUUUUGAACUUGUGUUAUUAAGAAACAUGUAUGAAUUUAAUAUCAAGUUUGAUUUCUAUUUACUAUAUGUGCGUGCCCUCGUGUGUGAUGCAAUAAGUAUAAAAAAAUAUUACUUUAGACUAUUGAAUUUAAAAAGUUAAAAAAAUUAAAAUUUUAACCAACGUAUUGUGACAAAUCUUUUUCCAAAAUCGCAUGUCUGCAUGUCCAACACAUAUCAUGUUGGACACUCAUAUUCGUGUCAGUGCUUCUAAAAUUUACACCCAAUAAAUAAAAACAAAUGACCAAACAGACCCACAGGAUCAUAGCCAGAUUCACAAUCAUCCUUUCUAAAUUCUAGAUCAACAAUCUAUCAUUAAUUCUUCCUAUAGUAAGAGAAAUCCAGAACCCCGUAAUAUGUAUAUUCCCACCCAAAAUGAACAAAGUACUAAAUAACGCUAUCAUAGUUCCAAAUACCAGCUGCAAAGUGCAAGCACGGUCUCAGAGCCUCAUCAUUUAAUAUCCUAGUUUCUUAACAUAUAAAGAACCACUUAAAACGGUUCAUAAAAAAAUAGGGAAACAAUUCUACCAGACAAAAGCAAACAACAGUAAUAUUUAUAAACAAAAUCACAACCAUAACAAGAAGAAUAAUAAUAUCAGUAUAAACUAGCAGCUGCUUUAACAACAUUCCAAGCACAGUUAUCAUGCUUAUAAAACAUUGGUACAACAACCCAAACUAAAACCUGAAACACCAGCCCAGUAUACUAAAAUGUCAAGACUAACAAACCCCUAAUACACAAUUUACAACCAAAAUGAUCAAACAAUCAAAAGAAACAAUAGCAUGAACAAUAGUAACAACAAAAUGUACAAGUAUUAUGUAACUAUAAAUUAUUCUAGGUUAUUUGCACAAACAGCAAUAGUAACGAACUGACAAUAAUUAUAGAUAUGAUGCGACUAUUAACACUUAAAAAGAAGAAUUUAUAAUCAAAUCUAUACGUAAUUCCAGAAAAUAACAUCAAUACAAAGUAAAUUAUUUGCAUAACUUAAAAUUAUUAUAGGUUAUUUGCAUAAUUAGCAAGAACAAUUGUAGCCAUAGUAACAAAAUUACAACUACUCCAGAUAUAAUGUAACAAUUAACGUCUAAAACGCACUACUUAUUGCCAAAUCUAACAAUAACCUAGAAAAAUAGCAUCAACACCAAUAUCAACAGCAAUAAAUAAAUACAAAAUAAUUAAAAUAAUCAUCAAAAGUCAAAUAACAAAAACCAUAACGAUAUGUAUACCAGGAUGAGGUCGAAGAGGGUAGCUUGGUCGACUUUUGCGAAAUCAGCGUCAAAGGCCUUGACGUCAUCAUCGUUGGUUGAAACCUUGUCAUCGGUUUUAGCGGAGGCAGCGUCCACGUGCUUUUUGCAGUACUCAAUGAUUUUGGACAAGAUCUUGC
rnacentral:lncRNA from 1 species